UCUGCUUCACCAGAUGCGCAGUCUUGGAACUCGACAGGAGCGCCUGGUCUGACUGGAAGAGGCCCUUGUGAACAAGGAUAUUUUUGUAGUAGCUGGAGUCGAAGACCUCAGGACUGGGAGGGUCCAUUGGGACUGUCAGGCUCGUGUCGGUGCUCGCUUUGGGGCACUUCUUCUUUAGUUUCUUCGCGUAAGCCGGAUCUAAGCUCGGAUCGGUGGUGGCUGUCGAGCUGAAGUUGUGCAGCCGACUGUUGAUGCUGGUGCAAUGAGACUUGCCGAUGGUGUGCGCCCCUGAAAUUACAAGAAUAGCUCCACAUGAGAAAAUAAAAUCGUAGGAACCACAGCAUAUGGGUUCAGUUGUGUCCAAGUUCGACUGAAAGAUCCCUUUAAACGUUUGUAUUCUUCAUACCAGAUAGGGUGACCAAGUCGUGCUUGUUCAGACCCUUGCUGGCAAAGUUCUGUGUGAGCUGUGAUAAAUUGAAAGUCGGAGGCGGUAAGUUUCCGAAUGUCUCCGAGCUACGGGAGAUCCUCCCGUCCCUCCUUCCCGAGGGGACCUCAUACCAAAAUCCCCCGCUCUGCAGUCACGAACAAAGUCAGCCGAGCAGUCAUGGUCAUCCACAGGGACACCAAGUCUUAUGUUCACAAAUGAUACGAUGUAGUCAAGAACAUUGGUGUAUUGAUUCUACCAGCUUAACACUAUCUCUGGCAGCAAAAGCGAGGAUGUCGGCGCAGGACACGAUACCCUUGCACUGCUUCUCCAGCUUGGCCUUGGCCUCGUCGAUGAUCUCGAACCCUUCCAGGCUUGGGUUGUUGAUGGGUGAGUCCUUCUCGGCGGUGUUGUUCGAGGUGGAGUCGAUAAGAAUUGAUCCGUCGCAACCCUAAAAACAUCAGAAGGAAAGAAGAUAAACCGCCGUUGACGAGCUACGGUAAUCGAGCAUAAUUUUCUUUUCGACGAGAGACAUAAAUAUCGGCGUAACUGGCUACGUAACACACCCUCACGAAACAGUCGUGGAAGUGCAUCCUGAUGAAAUCAGCGGGCAGACCCUUGUCCUUCUUCGUCGCCUUCUUUACAACCUUCUUCACGAUGAACUCAGCUUGGGGACAUGUAUUUUGGUAAUACCCGACACGAAGCGUAGCUUCUGCCGUAGCGCUGAGACACAUGCCAAGCACCAGGGCCAAGAACACUAUCUCCCCACUUAUUCUCGGCCCCAUGGUCGCUCAAUCUCUGAUACCUUUGCAUGCCUUCCGGUGCGUGACUUAUAACCAUCGGAUCGAUAGCCCUCUGGUAUUUUAAUCGAAAUUAUUGAUUAUCCAUUUAAGUGGAUUAUGGUGUGGCAGAGCUGGUUCGUGGAGGUUGGGUGCUAGCCUAUCGCUAGGACGUAUUAGGUUGAGGUUGAAUGAGGGAGGUUUCCUUGAAUAUAGACUUCGACAGCUCGUCCUGACGGCGACGGCACUCGUUGUUGACCAGCGACAAGUGGGCAGAAACAGAAGAGUUUGAUUCUAACGGACUAUGAUGAUGACAAUAACCGCAACACAGUAGUUCCGUGAUAAUUAAUUGGAUGUCAAGAGGAGGUCGUCUUAUGACAUCGCUAAGAUUCCUGGGGAUCAGACAACCCAGCUUGUUCCCCAAGUCGGAUGACGGUUGAACUUCUUGAAGCAAGGAGUCUGUUAUUCUUUGGUUCCCCUUUUAUUAGUCUACUGGAUUGACGAGUAUGCGUCUCUUUUGUACGUGAAAAGCUGAAUCCUGGGGAGCGGAUCAACGCUAUUUACUAUGAUGUGCUCCUCCGAUAAAAGACGCGUGUCCAUCACACUUCGACGUGACGGCAGCUUUAUGAUGGCAGAGAAGAUGUGGCACGAGGAUCAUGGAUUUUCUUCUGAUUUCUCUGGCAUUGUUUCCGCUUUCCCUAUCUUCAAUGGUUUUAAUUUGAAUCCGUUUCUAACUCCUCUUAAGAAUAUUCAUUUAUACUUUUAUACUGAAAGAAAACUCCGGUUGGAGGGAAGUGUAACCCGGACAAAGAGCAGAUGUCAUCUCGAAUGGUACUGAUGGUCCCUUUUGACGGGACUAGAUGAUGCGGAAGAAUGGGAAGAUAACGCGCAACCUGUUAAAUUUCCAUACAGCAACGAAUUUGAGGAGAUUUGAUGCGGUCCCCUAUUAACCCACAAAAGACAAAGCUGGAUGUGGUACUUUGAGAAAACUGAUAGGUUAGGAUAUUUGAAGAACGAGAUGAGGAAUUAUCAGGCUCAAGUGUUCAGGAUAAUUAAGCAAUGUUAAAGAUAACAGUUAUCUAACGGAGAAAAGGUAAAGAAAGAGAAUACCAGUGGGGAACUUACAUGCCUUCCGUCGGCAAUGACCCUAAAUCUGAAGUGUGGAAUCUUGCUUCACACAGCAAGUCACCAUGAUAGUGUGGGUGGUAGGAAAAAAGAGUAAUGAAUAGAAAGUUGACCCUGACGAUCAGCUCUUUUCAGAGCGUAGGUAGCCCUCGCGGCUUCUCCAAAUGAAGAGAAAAAAAGAAUUCAACUUCAACUAUCCAAUCCAUAUUACAAGCAUAUUUUUAUAGGUCUGGAAGUCAGGAAGAUAGACAGAUAACUAACUAAUAACAACUAAUUAAUAAUAAACAAAGUCGUGGUGGUGAUGCAUGGUACAUGUGCGACAUGACCGUAACCCACUCCCUUCCUCUUGUUGUUCGAUACGUGGGCGAGAGUGUGGGUCCUCUUUCCUUCUAUCGUGCAGGUGAGGUGGCGACUUCGGUUCUUCAACAGCCACCAAGGUCUUCUGAUUUAUGUCGUUGUCACUAGAAGAAAAGAGUUGGUGAGGAACUAUUAUUGGCACCAUGGAGUCAGUCGCUGUUCCUAUCUAAUAGAGAAAUCAGACCCCGGGGAGAUUUCGCAAAAUUCUCACCGACAGGAGAUUCAUCUCGAAUUGAUUCCUCAACCGCUUCGUUAUCUUGCGACGACAUCUUUGAGCAGUUUUUCUGUAGCUUUUGAUAUGUCUAUGAUGAUUACCUGGCACGUGGACAUAAGAGCUGAAAAUUUGAAAGCUCCAUUCCACCUUCCAUAAAUGUCUCUGUGAAUCAACGAGGUUGAAAAUCCUCGUCACCGUCGAUAUAUGAUGCUGUUGAUCCGACCGAAAACCUCACUACCAUCAGACCGUGGACACAAGCCAGUGAUGAACUGUUGUUAGAAAUGUUCUCUUCUUCCAGCAACAUUUAAGAUGGGUUUGGUGGGUCGAAUCACCAUCGAAAGAGGGAUAGCUGUCGAUUGUCAUAAUCUGACCGGGACCUGAUUUAUCGCGAAGCACGUUACUUCGGCGAGGAAUAAAAAACAUUGUUCUGACUACGUUCCACCAAUCCAAGAAGUGAUACUUAAGGCUUUGGUGGGCGGGAAUAAAUGCCAACUUCUAUCACUAAGUUAUAUAGAAAAACAUAGGACCUGUGGGAAUAACUUAAUAAAAGAAAGAGCACAGAAUCUAACGCCAUUAUUGGGGUUGGCCUUUUCUUCUGGAAUUUUUAAAUGCGUGGGUUGACGAAUACAUAUUAGCGGGUUUCUACAGAAAACAAAGGCUGGGUAUAAAAGUAAACUAAUUCGGAUUCUUCAGCGAACUGAUCGACCGACGGAAAGUUUGGAUCGUUCUUAAAUCCAUGCAUCUUGCGGGAUUCAGAUACCUAUGGACAGUUGAUUUUCAGGCCCUUAAGGGUGAUUAGGUCUUAAACGUACCUCUGCAUUCCUAGUCUCUAUUCUAACAUCACCAACAGAAUGUGAAUAUUACUUCAGUGAAUACAGCCAACCUGCUGGUGAAACCUAUGCACUUCUAAAGAAUACGGGAAAUACUCGUUUUAUAAUAAAAGCGCAAUGAAUAACAGACUAUGCAGCAAGAUGAUAUCAAAAGGAAUGCUUGCAGCACAUGCUGUCCGAAAGUCCUUCCAGCGGGGUCGGAAAAUCACUGUUGAUUAAUGCUAAUUAGUGUGUUAAUUCUGGUUUUCGAUCCCCAGAACCUUGACUAGUAGUGCUAACCUCCCUCUCGCUUAUUUUAUUAGAAAAGCAGACUCCCUCCAAAUGUUGGAGUAAAUAUGACUUAGUCCUGACAACGACACCCAUGCACCUACGAACUGUAGUGAGAAAGACGUGCGACGCAAGAAGAGGUAAGUGACCACUUUACGCUUUUACUUCAAUGGAGCCGGUGACCUGGGAAAGAAUUGGCAAAAGCAGCUUGAACUCGGAUUGACCUUGAUGUGAGGUUGAUUCGGCACGUUCACAUCCGAGCUAGGCACAGAAAGGCUAGCCGAAUAGACCCAACAGUGUUUGGGGGCUCUUAUAAGUGUUUUCUCUCCAGUAAGAAACUAUAAUGACAAACGAUACUGUUGACAAAACAGAUAAAUGUUCGUGUAACGAUUUACCAUUAUUUUUAAAGGGCACUCUAGUCGAUUUUUUUUUCAAACGGAUUGUGACUGAGGUCAGGAUAAUAUGUAGAGAAUACUUACCCUUUUGUAGAGUCAUUCCUUGAUCAAAUCUCGUGACUACGUUUUCUGGAAGCUUUUUUGAAUAACAAAGAACAAGGAGUUUUCUCGAUUGACAUAAUUUAUUGUACGGGUUCAAUAGGCCUCAAUAAGCCCAACAGUCUGGGGACAACCUUGUGGUUCAAGGUACUGAAAUGUGCCUCGAUGUUCACAAAAAUAGAAUGUAAAAGGUUGUUUGAGGACCAACACUAUUUUUCAAAACUAACAAGUGAGAAAACAAACACAGCCUAAAUCGCUGCCUAAUAGAUCAGUCUGUAGAUAUCUUGGUUAUUAGGGUCAAGAGAAUGACCCUGAAGCAUCACUUAAAAUGGCUCAAUCGGUAAUUAGGUCAGUUUAGACAAAAAACUUGUUGGUGAAGUUGGGCUUUGUUACUGGCCAUUGACGACCCAAACCAUCAGCGAUGCAGACACUGGUUUAAUUAGCAGGAUACUUUUAGAUAAUUGGAGCUAUUUUCAGUUUCAUUAUAUUUACUUUUUUACAACAUAAGAAUUCAUGUUUACCCAGAUUGUUUAUGUUAGUACAAUAACUAACUGAGAAACAGGGUUGUCUUCAACGCAAGCUAAAGGGCCAGUUUGGCUGUUUUCAGAAUUCUCUUUGAGUGCUUGACCUAUUUUUUCUUCUAACCAUGAAUCUUGCCCUGAUUAUUGAGAACAAUUUCCUCAAUGACAUCAGUUAUAACACUGACCUGAAAUGCUAUACUUUCUCCACUAAUUGAUAUUUGUUAUAUAGAAUGGAUGUAAGUUUCUAAGAUUGAACUAUCAAUGUCUUUGUUACCUGGUGAGAAAUUUUGAGAUGCAACUCUACCUACGUAGUGCUCUACUAUUGACUAGGGAUCAACAGUCAUGACUAUUGAUUGGUUGACUGAACUGAAAUGAAAACCGACUGUUACAUGAAAUGCAAUGAUCGUUGUUCUAGUUUGGUCACAAGUUUUCAUUGUCGAGAAAUCGAUGACCAUUGGAUCCAAUGGUUGUGACAAGGAUUGAGAGCCUUGUUGAGAGAGAAACUGAGAACCCCCAAAUCUCUCUCUCUCUCUCUCUCUCUCCCUCCUUGUCAAUGGGGAUCUCUACUGCCAUAGGCUCAUCCUCCUCUACCAUAGGCUCCUCCUUUGGUAUUGCAAACUCCUCCUCUAUUGCCGCAUGCUCCUCCUACACCAUCGUAGGCUCUUGCUCCAUCAUAAGGAUCUCCUCCUCUACCGCCAUAGGCUCUUUUUCUACCAUAGGCAUCUCCACGGUGCUCAUUCUAAAGUGAUGCUUGCAUUGAUGAAGUGCUAGUAGAUAAGUACAAUGAGAGUUGAACAAGAUUGAAAUGGAUUAUUUAAGUGAAUCUUGCAUCAAUGAUUACAACGUUGAGUCACUAGAAUGGUGGCACAAAAUUAGAUGCAACAAAUAUUGAUAAUUCAUUGAAUUGUCAUGUUAAAAAGUCAAUAUGAUUAAUGAUCAAAGCCUAAGGAAUAUAGUAAUAUAAUAAUUACAUAUUACAUAUUUUACUAAUAUAUUUUCGCACUCUAAUUUAUGAAUUAUAUCAUUUUCUUAUUUUCUACAGGAAUAUGAGCAUCAAGGCAAAUGAUAAGGGGGAAAUUAAUUUACAACUAUGACGCAUGGCACAUAAUGUUAUCAUGGGCAUUUUUACAAUAUGUGAACAUAAAAAGGUAAAAUUGUAAAGAAGACAUACUUGUAAAUCUUGCAAGAUAUAGGGGCAAAACGAGAAGGGCUAAUGUAGGGCACAAGCCCUAAAGAGGGGAGGUGCUGCCAGCCCUCUCUUUAUUCAUGAUCAACUCUCUCUCUCUCUUCUUCCUCCUUUGGUGUGUCCCUCUCCUAUUGUGGGGAUGGCUUGCUCCUCCUCUCUCGGUGCCACCUACAACACACCAUAGGUGGGUUAGCUCAUCUUUUUCUCCCCUUUCCAAUGGUGAUCACAAUAGAAAUGAUCGUGGGUCUCCUCCUUUGGUGCAGCAAGAAGAGGAUCAACUGAAAACACCCCUAUGUGAGGUCGGCAUUCUCUCCCCAUGUCCAUUAGAACAAAAAGGAGAAAACAUUAUUGUUUCGUUCCUUUAACUUUCAUGUAAUUAAACCUCUUUUAUGCUAGUUAAUUCAAUCAAAAUUUUGUGAAACUCUAUUCCCCUUCACCUCAUCGAUUUUCAAUAGUCAAAGUUGUUGAAGGAAGUGAAGAAUCAUCCCCACUGGCCAUCUGUAUCCUAUUUAUGAGGUGGUUGGUUAAACCUUGAGAGAGAUCUUCCUCUCAACAUGCAUUAAAUAUUUCUAUUCAUGUGGUCUGAAUUUUAAAGAGUAAACAAAUAAGAAUAUCACAAUUAAUUAAUAAACAACUAAUUCAUGUCAAAAUUUAUUCCUUUUUGUAAUAUUUCAUAAAUUUUAUUCAUAAAAAUUGACCUUACAUGUUUUCAGCUCUAUUGUAGUGUCAAAGUUGUGGGAUGUGUACCAUGAUUGAUUUUGAUUAUUCAUUUAAUCACUUUACAUCUCAAGGAAAUAUCCUUUUGUUGUUUACAAAUAAAAUAAUGAUCGGCAGUACAUGUAUGAUCUCCUUGAUAUUGAGAAACUGAAAUGUACUAUUGUAGUGCUCUUCCAAAGAUGUGUAAACAUAAGUAUAUAUCUACAAUUUCAUGGACACUCUGAUUGUUAUGCUUAGAUCACUAUACUUGAUGUUUUUAUAGUCUUGUUGCUCAUGUACUCUUAAGGAAGAUGACAUUAUAUAUAUUUCACAAAAUUUUUGCCAAAUAUUGUGUUACUAUUAUAUACCAAAGGCUAAUUAAUGUGCAAAGUGAUCCCAAGUAGCUUUAUAUGUAUGCCAUUAUAUGAAAACUUUUCAUUUGGAACCUUGGGACUUCUAAACAUAAGGUUAAUACUAAAUUGAAGAACCUCAAUAUCCAAUUUUUUUUUAACAUUUCAAAUAUCUCUAUUACCUUAAGAAGUAAUGCAGCUUAAUGUGCAUAAUGAAUAUGCUGAAUCUAAUUUAUAAGACUUGAAUAUUCUUUUAAAAUAUAUUAGUGAUAAGAAUCUAUAUUAAACCAUUUACUUUAUAAUAGAAUUAUGAUCCUUAAGAUAUGGUCAUCAAAUAAAUUUUGCCAAAGAAUGAUGCAUAUGGCUCUAUUAUCCAAUAACCUUUUAUUUCCACCAUUGCUUUUGAAAAUAACAACACAUUCAGUCACUCUUAAUCCAUUUGGGGUGGAAUCAGUUGAUGGUCUUGGGACGGGGGAAAUAUGGUUCAAGGUAGAAAGAGAAGGUCAUUUGCUCAUUAUCAAUUUUAAAAUGGAGUAAAAUUUGCAUAGUAAAAUUAUAACUUGUCCUUAGAACAAAUCCUCACAAUUACAAACUCUUCAAGAACUUGUACCCAAAGAAUAAAAAGACAUCAUCAUGAUAGGCAGUGAUUUUAGAGACCUAAGCUACUGAAAUCUACUUAUAAGUUCAUGAAUAGAAAAAAUGAAAAUGAAUGGCUCAAAGAUGGAUGCUUCUUGUAAAUAGGACUAGCAUGCCAUUGAUUGGGCCCCACUACAAGACCCAUAAAAUGUAGAGCAAGUUGAAGAGCUCUAGCAAAUUUUGAAGUAGGAGCAUAAAUAUGAUAGUCAAAGGUGAGAAAUUGUGCUUAGAUACUUGUAUACAACCUACUGAAAUUGAUGUUCGACUACCAAUAACUUCCCCUCUAAAACAUCAAUGUAUAAUAAACUCACAGAACAGUGGUUGAUGUAAGAUUCUCCUCAAUAAUGAAGUUUGAUAUUUUCGAGGGCUGUCAGGUAGUAGAAAACUAGAGUGGAAUUUCCUGAAAGGGAUGGAGGUUCUAGUGCGUGCAAUUUCAGAAGAAGAAGACAAGAAAGUAUGUGCAUCGAGACAACUUUUGUUAUUGCAUGAAAUUAAAACCUAACAACUAAAAAAGCUCAUGGCAGUGUGUACUUCAUCUAUGACAUGCAGAAUCUAUGGGGUAGUUUGAUACCUUUUGUUUCUAUGUGAAGUUGAGAUAUUUUCUACUGUUGUGAUUUGACUAACCUUUUGCCCUUCAUUUUUUUCAUAUUUUAGAUUUAAAUUACUUUUCAUCAUUAUAUUGAAAAAUGUCAAAAUUUACUAUUUCAAUGUCACAAGUAAAUAUAGGAUUCAUGAGAUCUAACUUGUAUGAUUUUAUCCUAAAUGUUUAUGAAUGAGGCUUGAAGAUAAAACCUAUUAAUAAAACUCUCCUUGACCAUGAAAGUAGGGUAAAGGGAUGGAGUAGCUUAGAAAAGCUAUUAAUCAUAGGGUGCUUGACUUCGAUACUACGAAUAUUAGAUGCCAUCACUAGUUUGUGUCAUCUGAGAUAGCUAUCUUAUAAUCACUCGACAACAAUUACAAUAAAAAUCUAUUAAUUAAGGAAAUAUGUUGCAUGAGACUUAGCUAUGAAGAGAAGUCACCUAAGAGACUAAGUUGUUGAUCAUCCAGGUCUUAAUUACAGUGGGACGGGGCUUCAGAUGUGGACCGAUGUCUCAAAUGGCUAUAGUGGACUAAUGCAAACUGAAUGGCUCACGAUGGCUUGAGCUACUAAUGUGGGUUCAGACCAAGGGGCUUGAGUUGACUAGGGAUAGACUAGGUAACCCAAACUAAUUUGGCCAACAGUGCGAGUCCCAUAAAUCGGCAUUUUAAACCUUAAUUGGGAAAUAAAUUACACGAAGAGUCAUGCAAAGGGGAAAGACAUGAAGGGAAAUGAUGGCAAUAGAACCAGUGGCGACUAGCGAGAGAGAGGGCUGGUGAGGGCAACUGUAAAAUGGCGAUAAAUAGUGGGAUUGCUAAUGGAGACUUGGGUGACAAAGGUUCUAGAAUGGAAAGGCAAAAAAGGUGAUGGUAAACAGUGAAAGUGAAGGCCAAAAUGAAUGGUACAGGUGGCAAUGGUGGAAGGAUCUAUAACAAUGAUGGUGGACGAGAGUGGAUGGCAUUGUCGAUGUGAAGUAGUGGCAGAUAGCGAGGUGACAAUAAGGACAAAGAUGGUGAUGGUGGGGAAGGCAGUAGUGGAUGCAAAAACGAUAGAGGAUCGAAAUGACAUUUGGGUGGACGUAGAGGUAGAAGGCAAAGCACCUAACUAGGAGCAAGGGGGUGCACUAGACUUGUAAAAUUGACAGAGUGAAGGAGGAUGAGAGUAGAAUAAAAGGUAGGGCAGAGGGAUGGAAGAAUAGAUGAGUUGUAAAAAGUGUAUAUAAUAAUCCUCCUCAACUUUGUUUCGUGGGUACAUGAUGCACAUAUAUAGUUUUUUGUCAAAAGUUUUCAUUGUAGGUUGACUACAUGUGAUGCAUCAUUGUUUGUUGGUUAGACAUUUUUCGACCGUUGGUGAUGUUUGAUGUCUUAGAGACUAUCCAUUGCUAGGUACCUACCAUUGACCAGUGACUGGCCAUUGAUGUGCGUUGGGUGAUAGUUGAACUAGUGUUCACACUCCCUCACAAGCUCUAUAUCAAUAGAGUAAGGAGGCAAGAAGUGGAGCUUGUUGCACAUAAAUUGAAACUGAUGUUGGGGAAGAGGUUUUGUGAGGAUGUCUGUGGGCUGAUCUUUGUUGGGGAUAACUAUUUGUUGUGACUUGUUCCCAAAUGAAAUGAAAGCCAAUUUUGAUAUGUUUUGUUAUGACGUGGAAGAUGGGAAUUGGCAAAGUAGGUAGGUAGUGUUGAUGUUGUCACAACACAAGGUUGGAGUGACAUGUAAAGAAAUUCGUAGCUCAUAAAAGAGAGACAUGAGCCAAAUGAGUUUGGCCGUGGCACUCGUGAGAGAUUUAUACUCAGUUUUAAUGCUCAGACGAUAUUUGGCUGCUUCUUAGAACUCCAAGAUACAAGAUUAGUUUCGAGGUAGAUCAAGUAUCCAUCAGUUGAGUGAUGAUUUAUAGGGUAACCGAUGUAGUCUACAUUGCUGAACUUGCAAAGGCAAAUGUUCGAGUGUUUGUGAAGCAAAAGGUCGUGAGAUAGACUAUCUUUUAGAGUCCAAUUAAUAGGGUUGGGGUUAUGCAUGUGUUGGCAAGUAUAAGUGAUUACAAAAGUAAUAUUAGGAUGAGUUAGAGUUAGGUAUUAAAGGCCGCUAAUGAUGCUACGGUACACCAUGACAUCCAAAGCCAUAGAGGAAAUGCAAAGAGGAGAGACAUAGCACAAUGUGAAAAUGGGUUUGCAAUCUUACAUCCACAUCUUGGUGAGGAGUUUGACAAUAUUUUGAGAUUGAAAUAAUAAAUAUCGAUCAUGGCCAAGAUUGUGUAGAGUAAAUGUGGAUUGGAGCGAGCAGACUAGGUAGUGGUACUCGAGAGAUUAGGGUUCAAGAUUAGAAUGUCAUCAACAGAAACAAGAAGAAAAAAUAGUGUGCAAUUAGUGUACUAGUAGAAGAGAGAGACAUCCAUUUUGAAAGCAUGGAAGCCAAUCGAUUAAAGGUGGGAUGAGAAUUUCUUAAAUAGUUCAUGUGGAGACUAUUUUCAGUCAUAUAAGGAUUUGCAGAGUAAACAUGUGAUUCAGACAAAGUGGGUUAGAGAACCCAAGCAAUUAUUUCAUAUAUAUAGUUUCAAAGAGAACAUCAUUAAGAAACACGUUGAAGAUGACGAGCUGACGAAUGUGCCAUUGUUGACUAAUAGUGAGAACAAGUAAGACACAUAUCAUGAUGAUUUUGAUGAUGAGGCUAAAGGUCUCAAAGUAGUCAAAUCCAGCUUAUUGGCUAAAGCCUUAGGCAACGAGGUGAGCUUUGUAGUGGUCAAUGGUUCCAUCAUGGUUGAAUUAAAGUCGGUAUAUCCACUUACAACUAAGGACAUGCAUGUUUGGUUGGGGAGGAACAAGGAGCCAAGUAUGGUUGCAAAGGAAGGCACUGAAUUCUACCAUCUUGCGUAAAGCCAACGUGGAUCUUGAAAAGCUUGAGAGAGGGAUUGCGGUUCUGAGAGAGUGGAUAGAGAGGUGGCAUAACAAUGAGGUAAUGGGUAUCUGGAGCAAGUAUGAGCUUGGCAAAGCGUGACCUCAAGUUCCAACUUGACCACAUUGUUGACAAUAGAGUGUUGAGCUAUAAUAACCUAAUAUAGCUAUUGGAGAGUGCAAAAUUUGGGAGAGUGAUGAGGUAAAGAGUGAGGGGAAGCUGAGGCAAUGGCUUGAUCUAGAGAGGCGAUAGUUGUAGUGGUGCCCAUUAAGGGGGUAGAGGGAGAGCAUUGCAAUGAGGAUAUUAGGGCUUGUGCGGGUGUCGUGAAGGCCGAUAGGUUGAGAGGAGCAAUGCAAAGUAGAGUGGAUCUGAGGAGCCCAUUAGAGGAUGGGGAAGAAGAGGAGGAAGGGAUUGAUACAUUUUGAUCUGCUUAGGGAAAACUGAUUUCAUUAAAUAAGACAUCAUGAGAUAUGAACAACUUACCUAACUUUAGCAAAAGACACAAAUAACCUAGGUGUUGUGAGCUAUAUCCUAAAAAGAUCAACAUCCUAAAUAAGAUGUUAGUUUAUUUGUGGCAUAUGAUCUUAGAUUUGGAUAAUAGAGGCAAUUGAAAAUGUGAAGAAAAGAGUAGUUAGGAAUUGUAUCGAAAAUAUUUUGUAUGGCAAAUGCAUAUUAAGAGUAGAUGUAUUCAUCUGGUUGAUGAGAUAGGCAGUCAUUGAGCCAACAUCAUCCUAAAAUUUCUACAGAAGACAGACUUGAUGGAGCAAAGCAAGAGUUGUUUCAAUUAGGUGCCGAUAUUUUUAUUUGGCAAUACUAUUUUUGCUUAGGGGUUUUUAGGUAGGAGAUUUGAUGCACAAUUUUAACAAUUUGAAGGUGCUGAUGAAGUGAUUAGAAUUCUCCUGCAUCAUCAAAUUGAAAAGUACAAAGUAUGGUUGUGAAUUGGCAUUUGACUAGAGCUUAAAAGUUUGAAAAAUGAGAAGGAUGUUACUUUUCUUUUUCAUUAGAAGUAGCCAAGUAUAUUUGUUGAAAUCAUUGACAAAGAGGAUGUAAUAACUAAAGCCAAAAUGUGAGAGUGGGAGUGGGUCCCCAGACGUCAAAAUGGAUGAUUUAAAGAGGCUUAGUAGUUUUCUUUGGUGCUCAAAAGAAGGGAUUUUUUUGUGCUUUUGAUAUGUAGCAUGAAUCACAUAAGAAGUAUUUAUUUUAAUGGGUUAUAGGUAAGUUUUUUUUGGCAAUAAUUGUUUGUAGGAUGUGGAAAUGUAGAUUUCCUACUCGUAUGUGCCAUGUAUUUGGAGAGGCUCAUUUGCUGACCAACAUCGAGGGUCAGAGUUGGGAUGGAUAUAGAUGAUAUAGACCAUCCUUAACCAUGCCAUAGAAGAGUUCCUCCUCUGUUGUCCGAUCUUUUACUAAGUAAAAUUGAUAGUGAAAUUCAAAGAUAACAUCAUUAUUGGAGGUUAAUUUUUGGACAUACAAUAUGUUUCGUAGUUUAAACAUUCUUCAAUUAGCAACUAAAUGAGAAUCAUUGGAGGAGAGAAUCAUCAAACCUUGGCCAUUAUUAAUAUGAAGUUGAUUGGAACCUAAGUAUGGGAAUGAUUGUCGAAGAUUGAUAACUUUAGGCGUUAUGUGAUGAGUGUCACCACUGUCAAGGUACCAAGAUGAGGUUGACAAAGCUUCCAAAGAGGUAAAUGUGUUGGUGUAAUAUGCUUGUAGUUGAGGUUGCUGAUUUCUGACUUGUCAUAGGGCUAGAUGGCUAAAAUUAUUUUCAUUGUAACAAUCAUGAAUAUUACGAUUAAACCAUUCACAACAUUUAUGAACUCUAUGUCCCAUUUGAUCGCACAGUUAACAUUUAAGAAUAUAUCUUUCUUUGUUGCAUCUUUUGCCUUGUCUACAUCUGUUAGUUUGUCACCUAGGAUAUUUGUCUUAACUAGCUAGAUCGUGAUGUACUAGUUUGUUUUUGAUAGAAAGUUGGAAUUAUUUUGUGCCUUUUGUUAUUUAAACACUAUCAUUGUUUUGUGAGAGUGGAUUUGGAUGAUUGUAUCUUUAAGGCUUUGAUCUUCAGGUUGUGUAUUGAGACCAACAAUGAAUGAAGUAUAUUCUAAUAGUAGUCCUUGUGGAAAUGUGAACGUAAUAAUCAAUUCGCUCUUCAUUGAUUAUUCAAAUUUCCUUGACAUACUCGUCUAUUGUCAUUGAGACUUUGAUGAAGUUUUGGAAUUUGUUGUGUAACUCCAUGAUUGGGGAUUUGCUCCAAGAAGAGUAAUUUAUCUUGGUCACUUCCCAAGCUUCUUUCGAGGUUCUCUUGCUAAUGACAUAUGUGAGAACUGAUUUCGAUAAAGAGGAGAUUAUUAACACCAACACAAAUUGAUCACAUCAUCUCUAGACUUAAUAGAUGAGAUUUAGAGUGACGAUUUUAUUUUUGUCUAUGAGGGUGAGUGCUAGAGCUUUUUCUUUCAAGAUAUAAUCAAAGCCACAGUUCCUGAGUAGCGUGAUGAGUUGUGUCUGCCAUAGCAAGAACUUAUCUUUGGUUAGCUUUAGUGGGAUUGACUUACUUGUCAUGAGAGGUGUUGGUAUCGUCAUAGAGGCAGCCAUAAUUGUAUAAUUCUUCAGGGCACUUGAUGUGAAUUAAUUGUUAUAUAAUAAAUCACGUAAAUUUAAAAUUUAUAAAACUAGAAAAGACCAAUUCUUAAAAUUUUAAAUGUUUAUCAAAGUGAAUAAAUCAAUUAUAAAUCGAUAAAAGAUUCUAGAAAUAGUAGGAAAUUUUUAGGUCGAUCACAGGGAUGUAAUAUAAUAUCAGAUAAUAUUUCAGAAUUUUUCUUAAAAAAUACGAUUUUUUAUGAUUUUUUAACUAAAUGAUAAAUAUAAUAUAUUAAAUAAAUGCAAAUAGGAAAUAAGACAAUUACGUCAAGUGAUGUCAGCGCGUGAAGAAUAUGAAUCAGGCGAAAAUAGAGUUCCGACCUAUGAUUCUUUCGUAAGCAAUUAUCAUCAAAUUAAUUGAUCAAAUUUAGUUCUGUAAAAGCCUGAAGAAUUGUAUCUCAAGUACGAAAUAUAUUGAAUGUUGAAAUCGUGCUAAAGAUUAUUAAUUUAAAUAAAAAUAAAGUUUAAAAUAGGAAAAAUAGAGUUCUGACUUUGCGGCGGUGAUCGUCAGAAUUUUGCGUGUUUAAAAAAGAAAUCGUACAAUGUCCACGGCCUCGAAGGCUCUCUUUGGACAAAGAUGAUGUGGUUGAUCUCUAGAUCUUCUUUUGAAGCUCAGAAAUCGGUGGAAUGGGUCGUCAAAUCGUUUCCGGUGGUUGUCACCCGGCAGAAUAGAAAAACGGUGACUUGCGGCCCUCCAGCGACAGUCACUCGACAAAGGUGUGCUAGAUAGAGGUGGGGCGCAUCUCAGGGGCUUUGUUCUCAAGUUAGCACAGUGAGAAGAGGCCCUUUAUCGCAUUUGGUAUGCUCUCAAGAGGUGGCGACUCAUUUCCUAGCAGAUUGUCCUCUUCUUAGUGAUGGCUUGUUCGUCGAUCAAGCGGAGAUGAUUUCUUUGUUGAGUUCGUAAUGUUUUGUCUAGAAUCUUACACCAAUUUCGGCCACGAUGUUUCGUGAAUUGCAUUGACUAAGUUUUUGCUGAAUUUUUGAUGAUUUUUGCAGUUUAAUCACUCGUCAAAAAUCAUGAUUUCUUUGCCAGUUGUCUACCUACGAGAGAGAGAAAGAGGGAGAGAUAAAAUAAGUUCUAAAAUACUUUCAAUGUAUGAUGUCAUAACGAUCAUUUUAUAACAGUCAUUGAGGGGCAUUGUUGGCAUUUAGAAAAUAUGCGGGAAAAAAUAAGGUGAACGGUUUAGUCCCACAUCGGUUUUCUAGGCAAUUUUCACGCACAUAUAAUACGGGCGCUUCUUUAACCAUCAAUAGGUACAAAUCACCGGUGUGUGUACGAACACUCUUUGCCCCACGCCUGGCUGGCCAUCGGUGAUGUGGAAGGGGAGUGAUGCACACGUCAGCCACUUGAGCGCCUAGCUCACGGUCUGUGUCACCAGCCACUUGAGCCUCGAGCUCGUGGUCCGCAUCACCAGUCACUUGAGCCAUCGAGCUUGCAGUCUGGUCCUUAGCCACUCGAGCCUUGAGCUUGUGGUCCUUAGCCGCUCAGCGGCUCCGCCUGACUGGGCCUCCGACCCACUAGUAGGUCUGUGUGGCCGGCAAAUUUUUUGCUUUUUCCUUAAAUUUUUUUUCAUUUUUCUCAACAAAAUAAAAUUAUAAAAUCAUGUAAUUAAAAAAAUCAUAUUAAUCAACUAAAAAUCACUUUUCAUAAUUUAACACAAAAAUAAGUCUAUUUAUCAUGAGUUAAGACUAAAAACAUCAUCUUACUAAAUUAUUAACUCAUGAUAAUGAAAACUUAUCAACGUCCAUUAUUAAUUACAAAUGCCAUUACGCAAAUGGCUUUGAUACGGUGUAAAAUCUACUAAAUGAAGGCGGAAGAGAGUAGAACAGAAGAUAGGGUAGAGGGAUGGAAGAAUAAAUGAACUAUAUAAAGUGUAUACGAUAAUCUUUCUCAACUUUAUUUCAUGGAUAUAUGAUGCUUAUACAUAGUUUUCCGUCAGAAGUUUUCAUUGUAGGCUAAUUGUGUGUGAUGCGUCAUUGUCGGUUAGACAUUUUUUGACUGUUGGUGAUCUUUGAUGUCUUGAAGACUAUUCAUUGCCAAGUACUUAUCAUUGGCUAGUGACUGGCCAUUGAUGUGCGUCGAGUGAUGACUAAGCUGACAUUCACAAGACCAACUCUACCAAGGCAACUAGGUCCUCAUGACUAACCCUACUAGGGUGACUUGGUGAUGGACUUCAAUUGUUGGUAAUUAAAAUCCUUAAAUUAUAUAUUUAUAAACCUUAUCCAAAUAUAUGUAUAUCUUAAAUAUAUAGUAGAUUAGGGUUGAACUCAAGGAGAAUUUUGAAUUGACUGAUGUAUAUUAAUUGGUGAUGAUAUUCUAAUUUAUUUACUCUAUGAAAUUCAACAACUAUAACCAAGAAUUUUCAAUUACAUGAGUUUUUGAUUGAAUUAACUAGGAUAAAAGAAAUUUAAUUACACAAAAGUCAAAGGAAUAAAGUGACAAUGAUUCCUCUCUCUUGUUUUGGCAGAUGUGGGAAGGGAAUGGUGGCCUCACAUAGGAGCAUCUUUGGUUGAUCCUUUUCUUGCUGUGUCAAGGGAGGAGACCUAUGAUUGUUGUUGGCGUUGUUAUCACCACAUGGGGAAGGGAGAGGUGAGCCUGCCCACCUAUGGUGUUUUGUAGGUGGUGUCAAGGGAGAGAGGAGUAGGCCAUCCCCAUAGUAGGAGAGGGACGCACCAAUGGAGGAAGGAGAGAGAGAAGGGUUGAUCAUAAAUGAGCAAAGGGCAGGUGGUGGCUCCCCUCUUUUGGACUUGUGUGCCCUACCUUAGACCUUCUAGAAUUGCCCCUGCAUCCUACAACAUUUACAAGUAAGUCUUCUUUACAAUUUUACCCUUUUAUGUUCACAUAUUACAUAAAUGUCCUUAAUCACAUUAUGUACAUAGUAUCAUAGUUGCAAAUUAAUUUUCCCCUUUGUCAUUUGCUUUGAUGCUCACAUUUAUGUAGAAAAUAGGAAAAAAUAUAAUUCAUAAACUAAAAUGUGAAAAUAUGUGAGUAAAGUAUUUAAUAUAUAAUUAUCAUAUUCCUAUAUUCUUUAGGCUUUAAUCAUUAAUCAUAUUUCCCUUUUAACAUGAUAAUUUAGGGAAUUAUCACAACAUCCCACUUAAACAUUACUAGCCCUUUAGCAAUAUAUUAAGAUUGUGUUAAUCCCCCAAAACAUAACUCUUUCAAUUACUAUCUCCUUAACUACUAACAAUUCUACAAAUAUCCAGUCCUUAGUAUCAAGAAUUAAAUAAACUUUUAGAUCCAUAUUUGAAUCUCUUUUUCAAGCACAUAUUCAUCACUUUCUUUUUCUUACUCAUCCUUCCUCCCUCAAUUAAUAAAACUUGUUUAAUUUUUGAUCUUGAUCUAGCUUCAUGCUCUCCUUUAGUUGACAUGAUACUAAACAAUUCUUGGUGUAGUGUUUGCAUGACUUAGCAUCAAUUCUAGGUUAAUAUCCCCCCUCAAUGCCUAAAAUAUGAGGUAGGAGUAUGAAUUCCUUGUCUUAGUCUCACAUGUGGAAGCCCCAUGAGACAAGUUAGAAAUCCCAUUUCAUCAUCAAUGACCUCUUUCUUAUUGCUAUUUACUUCCAUAUUACUUUUAUGAGAGGUUUUUGCUCUAGUUGCACAUGUGAAAGCCCCACAGAGCAAAUGGGAAGCCCCCCUUCUCAAUGUUAUUGAUUUUCAUCUCUUUAUUUUUAGGAGAUAUUUUCUCAAAUCUCACAUGUGGAAGCCCCACAAAGCAAAUGGGAAAUCCCUUCUCCAAAUGCCCUUUUUUUUUUCGAGUUCAGUCAACUUGUAAAGAUCAUUUUUUCUCACUUUUCCUUCAAUUGACUUGUAUCAUGUUCAACAAAUUAAGAAGGGAGCAUUUCCACCUUUUCUUUCACAUCAAGCAUCCAAGAUUAUAACUUUCUAAUUCUAGAUUUGCAAUAUCUAGUCAAUGAUUUUUCUUUGCCUUCAAAAGGUUUUCUCCUACUUCUCAUCAAGAACUCUUCUUCCUCUUGACCUUUGCACUAUCCAUUAUGCAUCCUUAAUCAAAUAUUUAAGUUGAUUUCAUCAAAAUAGUAUAUUUUCUAUUUCACUUAGCUCACUCAUCCCCCAUGAAAACAUUAUCAUUGUCCUCAAUGAGUGAAAAUGAAUGCAGACAAAAAUUUAAAAGGAUGCAAGCUAAAAGAACACAAUCAUGAUCAACAUAUGAAGGUAUGAAAAGUAACAAAUUCAAUUGGGGUGGGAGUGCAAUCACCUAUUUUUUCCUUUCUGCACAGCCAACAUUCCUCCACAAUUUAUUCAAAUGGAAAUGUAGUUUCAAUUUUCGAAAUUAGUUGCUAAAUGAAAAGAAAACAAAAGUAAAAUUUAGAAGGUAACAAGCAAUGUAAGGCCCAUCCCAUCUAAGGAAUUUGAAGCAGUGAUCAGAUUAAGUGUUGCAACCCCAUACUCAUUGAAAUUUUCCAAAAUGUAAGGCCCAUCCCAUCUACUCCUUAAUUUUCCUAGAAAUAAUUUAAGCUUUGUAUAACCAUACCUUUUGUCCCAUUGUGAAGUACCUUAUGGAGAUGUGUUUAUCAUGAAACUCCUUUAUUUUUGCUUUAAAAAUUUUUAUACUUUCAUAAGAUUUAUUCCUCAGCUCAUCCAAUUCCUACAAAUCAAGAAAUCAUUUCUCCCCUACCGCUACCAUAUCCAUGUUCAUCUGCUUGAUGGCCCAAUAUGCCUUAUGCUCCAUCUCUACUAGUAAGUGACAUGCCUUGUCAUAGACCAACCUAAAUGGUGAAGCUCCUAAUAGAGUUUUGUAUGUUGUGUAUAGGCCCAAAGUGCAUCAUCAAGAUGUGAGGUCCAAUCCUUCUGAUUGGGAGAGACCAUCUUCUAAAAAAUCAAUUUAAUCUCACGAUUACCUAAUUUAGUUUGACCAUUUUAUUUUGGAUGGUAUAGCAUAGUGAUUCUAUGUUAAACUCCAUAUUUGCAUAGCAAGUUCUUGAAAUGUACAUUUAUAAAAUGUGUGCCAUUAUCACUAAUAAUAGCAUGUGGAGAAUCAAACCUUGAUAAAAUAUUACUUCGAAUAAAUUUUGUGACAACCUUGCUAUCAUUUGUUCGAGUGAAAAUUGCCUCCACCCACUUUGACACAUAAUUCAGUGCAAGUAAAAUAUAUUCAUGCCCACAUGAAGGAGGGAAUGGACUCAUAAAAUCUACCCCCCAUAAGUCAAAAAUCUCAACUAUUAGAAUGGGCUACAAUGGCAUUGCAUCUUUCUUUUUGAUAUAAUUGUUGAUUGACAUUUAAUGCAAUGUUGACGAAAUGUAUGUGCAUCUUUAAAUGAAGAAGGCUAGAAAAAUCACUUUGUAAAACUUUUGCAGCUAUCUUUCGACCUACAAAAUGGCCUCCAUAGUGUAGGGAGUGACAAAAUUCUAAGAUUUUACCUUGUUCAUCUAGAACAUAACGUCGUAGGAUCUAGUCUUCACCUAGAUGAAAAAAAUCAGGAUCAUUCUAGAAAAAACUUUUUACCUUAGCAGCAAAUCUCUCUUGUUCCUCUUUUCUCCAUCUUGUAGGCAUUUUUUGUGUAGGUAAAUAAUUGACAAUGUCAGCGAACCCAUGACAUAUUUUUAGUUUGUACUGAUAAAAUUUGCUCAUCUAGAAAAGCAUCAUGUUAAGUAGAUUGUUCAUUAUGUACAAUACAAGAUAAAUGAUCAACCACAACAUUUUCAAAUCUUUUCUUAUCAUGAAUUUUGAUAUCAAACUCUUGCAACAAUAAUAUCCAUUUUAGGAGCCGUGGUUUUGCCUCUUUUUUAGUAAGUAAAUAUUUCAAUGCUGCAUGGUCAAAAUACAUAAUUACCUUUGAUCCAAUGAUAUAUGCCCUAAAUUUUUUUUAAUGUAAACAUCACAGUCAAUAAUUCUUUUCAGUGGUAGUAUAAUAUAAUUAUAUAUCUGUAAUAGUCUUGCUAACAUAAUAAAUAACCACAGGUUUAUUAUUUAUCUUGUGCCCUACUUUACCAAUUGCAAAAUUAGAAGCAUCACACAUUAUUUCAAAGGGUAUAGACUAGUCCAAUGUUUGAAUAAUUGGUGCUUUUGUUAAUGCUAUUUUAAGGGUUAUAAAAGAUUCUACACAUGAUUCACAAAAUGAAAAGGAAUAUCUUUUGACAAUAAUGUUGUCAAGGGUCUAGCAAUUUUAGUAAAGUCUUUUAUAAACUUGCGGUAAAAACCAACAUGCCUAAGAAAUGGAUGAAUUUAUUUAAUUGAUUGUGGUGAAGGUAGAUUAACUAUAGCCUCAAUCUUUGCUUUGUCCACCUUAGUCCCUUUUUCACUCACAAUGUGGCCUAGAACAAUACCCUCUUUCAUCAUAAAAUGACUUUUCUCCUAGCUCAAUACUAAGUUAUUAUCCUCACACCACUUAAGCACAUUAGUCAAAUUAUUUAAACAAUGUUCAAGUGAAUUCUCAAAGACUGAAAAAUCAUCCAUGAAGAUUUCAAGGAAGUUACUAAUCAUAUCUGAAAAAAUAGACACCAUACACUGUUGAAAUGUAGCAAUGGCAUUGCAUAGGCCAAAGGGCAUUUUCUUAAAUGCAUAAGUGCCAAAAGGGCAAGUAAAGGUUGUUUUCUCUUGAUCCUCUAUAUAUAUUACGAUUUGAUUAUACCUUGAAUAUUCAUCUAAAAAAUAAAAAUACUUUGGACCAGCUAAUGUUUCUAGAAUUUGAUCCAAAAAUGGGAGGGGAAAAUGAUCUUUAUUUGUCAUAGAGUUAAGUUUUUUAUAAUCAAUGCACACCCUCCACCCCAUGGUCAACUUAGUAGGUACUUCUUCCCCUUUUUUGGUCUUGGUUACUAUCCAUCCUGACUUUUUAGGGACUAUUCGUAUAGGACUGACCCAAGGGCUAUCUAAAAUGGGGUAAAUAAUAUCAACGCAAUCUAUUUAAUGAUCUCACCCUUGACUACUUCUCUCAUGUUUGGGUUUAAUCUUCUUUACAUCUCUCUACCUAGUUUUGCAUUAUCUUCAAGAUAGAUUCGAUGCAUGCAUAUAUCUAAAUUUAUACCUCUAAGAUCAGCUACAGUCUAACCAAUUGCACCUCAAUGUUUGGUCAGCACCUCUAUGGUUCUUCUUUGUUGAUCUUUAGUCAAGGUUCAUAAAAUAAUCACAAACAAAGUUUGGUUAAUUCACAAACAAAGUCUAGUUAAUUCCAAGAUAAACAUACUUCAUAGAACUAGGGAGAGGUUUUAAUUUUAAUUCUGGAGGUUGUUCUAGUGAAGGUUUCAUUAGGGUCUUUCUAAUUUCUAAAGGUUCUAUAGCUCUAUGUUUUGCAUAUGCACAGGUUAGCUCAAAAUCAAUCACCUACUAGACCCAAUUGACCUCUUCUAUACAUGUUUCUAGACCCUCAACUUCCUCAAGUUCAUCUACCUCUUCCAUAGGAUAUUUUUUACUCCUAAAUACAUUUAAUUCUAUUUCUUUAUCAUCAGAUCUAAUAUUAAUAACACCAUUCUUGCAAUCUAUGUUUGCCUUUGCUGUUGCAAGAAAAUGUCUGCCCAAGAUAAUCGGUGCAUAGCAUAAAUCACUUCUAACUAGUACAUCUAAAAUCAAGAAAUCAACAGGAAAAUAACAACCCUUGACCUUCACAAUCAUGUCCUCCAAUAGCCCUUCAAGUGUCUUGACUGAUCAGUCAGCUAAUUAGAGGAUUAUAGGGGUAUCCUUGAGUUAUCCCAUCUGAAAUUUAUGAAACACAUCAGUAGGCAAUAGAUUAACACUCGCACCUGAAUCUAAUAAUGCAUUAAAAAAUGUUACUUCACCUAUUUGACAAGAAAUUAAUGGUGCACCUAGAUCUUUACAUUUUCUAGGUAAAGCGUGUGAAAUAACCACACUAGCUUUUUUGGAGAGUGUGAUCCUCCUAGGUGAUCAUUGUGGGGUACACAAAUUUUUUAAAAAUUUAGCAUACAUCAGUAUGUGUUUGACUACAUCCAUCAAAGGAAUUGUGAUCUGAACUUGGAAAAUUUUUAUUAGCUUCUCAUUAGGCUCAAGUUUUACCUUAGUUUUUGGCUCGAGUGCUUUAAGAAAAGGUAUGACCUUUGUUUUUCCUUUUAAAUCCUUUCCUUCUAAUGCUUCUUCUCUUUGUAGUUCUUUUAAUUUUUGUUUUUUAGUUCUCCCUCCCAUUCUGAAAAUAAACUAUCAUAGUCAUUCUCUGGUUCUACUAGAGGUGUGGGGUUAAUGUUCUCACCAUAGGGGUCUUUGAAGACUUUUCCAUUCCUCAAGAUAGUCAUGGCUUCCACAUUCUAGAAAUGUUCAUUUGUGUGUUGGGAGGAUGACACUUGAUGUCAUGCAGCAUUAACACCAUAAUUUCGUGGUUACUAAUAGGUUGACUAGGGAGCUGUCCCAACUCCCUCCUACGAUUUGCUAUGGCCAAAUUACCUAUUUCUUUUCCUAAUUUUUGGUGUUGAUGUUGCAUUUGAUCUAUUUUUUGUUACAUCUGCAGCAAAUUCUGUGCAUUUUCUUCAGAUUUUGCCUUGACUACAAUAUUCAUGUUUUGGAAUUGUUCAUGCAUCAUCUGCAUCAUUUGACUCAUUAUUUGCUGCAUCAUCACAUUAGAUGAAUCAACAAAUGGUGGUUUAGUAUUUGACUUCUAUAGUGUCUGAUUUGAACCUACAAGAGGCUGUCUAAAUUGGGACUGGUUAGAUGACUGAAAUGAAGGUUGAAAUCCUCUUGAAAAAUUUUGAGGUGGAUGUGAGUUCUAGACUUGUGUUUGACCUACAGAAAAAUUUAGAUUCAUGGCUGAGGAUUGAGAUGUUUGAAACCUUUGAGAUGGAGGUCUGGGAUUUAGACAAUUAUCUUGAUUUUUUUCAUGAGAAAUUUGGGUGACUCAUCCACCCCUAAUCCUAAGCAGCAUGCACCUGUUCAGGUGCCCCUAAAUUAGGUCCGCUAAAUUGUGGGCAUUAGUGGUCAUAAUGGUCAUUACUUCUGCAUAUCAUGCAUCGUGUAUAUAGUAUAUGAGAGGGAGGGUUUUUAAUUUUAUUUUGCUCAGAAUUCAAAAGGAGAUGAUCACAUAAUCUAUCAGUUUUUUGGUGGACUUUAGUCACCUCAGCUCUCCAUUCUUUUUCCUCUAAAUUUCGCACUUCAUGCACCCCCCCCUUUUUUGCUCUCCUAAGCUAUAGUCAUACAAAGCAAAGGACUCUUUAUUUGCUGAGUUUUCACUUAGAGUUUCAUAUAAUUGAUACAUUUCAUCCUCAUCCUUGCUCAUAAAUGCUCCUUCACAUGUUGCAUCUACUAAAUUUUUAUUUUUUUUAGGUAUACCAUCAUAGAAAACUCUAUUAAUUUUCUACUUUGCAAUUCCUUGGUGUGGGCAUUUUUUUAAUAGAUUCUUAAAUCUCUCCAAUGCUUCAUGAAAGGUCUCCCUUGAUCUUUGUGAGAAGUUUAAGAUUAAUUUUCACAUGACAUGUAUUUUUCUGACAGGGUAGAAUUGUUUUAUAAAAACUUGUUUGAUUUCUUGCCAAGAGGUCAACUCUUGGUUUAAUGAAAUUAACCGAUCUUUAGCUUUAUCAUGUAGUGAAAAUGGGAAUAAUUUCAUUCUCAAUACUUCUUGAGGGACAUUAGGAAAAUGGACCAACUCACAUGCAUAUAAGAAUUUUUCUAUAUGUUAAUGAGGCUCUUCAUUGGGUAGUCCAUGGAACGUGGGAAGCAUUUGUAUCAUCCCAUGUUUUAUAUCAAUGUGAACCCUUAUGAGCUAGAGGAAUCCUAAUUUGAGAUGUUGGCCUAUAAAAAUUUGGUAUAGAGUGGUUAUACAUAGGUCUAUAGGGGUGAGGAUUUUCUAAGUUUUGUGGCAUCUCCUGAUUUCGUAAGUUGGUUGGGUGAGAUUCUUGUUUGUUUUUCCCCACUAGAGCUCUAUCCUCUCUCUACUUCAGCUGCCACAGCACCCUGUUUAAGGCUUCUUCACUUGUCCAUGUUUUUGGAUAAUUAGUAUGACAUAAAAUGCAGAUGAAAGUACUAGAGAAGGUAACACAUUCAAUAAAAAUUUGGGUAAAAAUGAACUAUUUGUAUGCUAUUUGAAUUCAAUAAAAGACAAUGCUCAGAAAUCAAAAAGGAGUAAAAAUGUGAGUGAAAUUAAUAAUUCAAUGUAUUGUUGAAAUAAACUGAAAUAACAUAAAAAAAGAGAUCUAAAUGGCCUUGAAAUAAUUGGCAUGAAAUAAAAUUCAAUAGGACUCAAAGAAAGUAUUUAUCAAUUUUCUGAAUUUUUUUUAAACAAAUAGUGAAAACAAGAACUAGUAGAAUUGGCACCCACUGAAAUCAAAAUGAAAUAUAGUAUUGCGCAUAGUUCGAUAUUAUGAUUAAUAUUUUUUUUAAUUAGAAAAAAUAUGAAUCAUUGAGAUAAACUACAAGAACUCAGAUGUGCUUAAAGUCAGAUUCGUUCAAAAUUAAUAUAAAUUACCAAUUGCAAAAAUUCUCCCCGACAAUGGCAUCAAAAAUUUGAUGGAGUUCAGUUGUUGGUAACUACAAUCCUCAAAUUCUAUAUUUAUAAACCUUAUCCAAAUAUAUGUAUAUCUUAAAUGUAUAGUGGAUUAGGGUAACUCAAGGAGAAUUUUGAAUUGGCUGAUAUAUAUUAAUUGGUGAUGAUAUUCUGAUUUAUUUACUCUCUAAAAUUCAGCAACCACAACCAAGAAUUUUCAAUUGCAUGAGGUUUUGAUUGAAUUAACUAGGAUAAAAGAAAUUUAAUUACACAAAAGUCAAAGGAACAAAGUGACAAUGAUUCUUCCCUCUUGUUCUAAUGGAUGUGGGAAGGGAACGGCAACCUCACACUAUGCUGUCUUCAAUUGAUCAUUUUCUUGCUACACCAAAGGAGGAGACCCACAAUCACUGCUAGUGCUGUCACCACCGGAGGUGGGAGGGAGAGGUGAGCCAGCCCACCUAUGGUGUGCUAUAGGUGGUGCCAAGGGAGAGAGGAGUAGGCCAUCCCCACAGUAGGAGAGGGACUCACCAAGGGAGGAAGGAGAGAGAGAAGGGCUGAUCAUGAAUGAGGAGAGGGCUAGUGGUGGCUCCCCUCUUUUCGGCUUGUUUGCCCUACCUUAGACCUUUCAGUUUUACCCCUGCAUCUUGCAACAUUUACAAGUAAGUCUUUUAUACAAUUUUACCUUUUUUGUUCACAUAUUACAUAAAUGCCCUUAAUUGUAUUAUGUGCAUAGUAUCAUAGUUACAAAUUAAUUUUCCCCUUUGUCAUUUGCUUUGAUGCUCACAUUUUUGUAGAAAAUAGGAAAAUGAUAUAAUUCAUAAAAUAAAGUGUGAAAAUAUGUAAGUAAAGUAUUUAAUAUAUAAUUAUCAUAUUCUUAUAUUCUUUACGCUUUAAUCAUUAAUCAUAUUACCCUUUUAAUAUGAUAAUUCAAGGAGUUAUCACCUGGUCUUUACAACCAACUCAACUAGAGCCAUAGGGUCUUGUUAUCAUUUCCAUGGAGGAGUGAAGAACACAAGUCUCUACUUUUUCAAAAUCAAUUACUUGAGUCUCUCAAGGGUGAAGUAAGAACCUUAUAUCGGCCCAAAUUAGAUUAGGCUGAGCUCAAUUCAUCUGCCUUGCCCAUUACAACUAAAAUGGGCUUGAGUCCUACAUCACUCCCUCUUCCACUCUCCAUCCUCUCACUAUCCCGCUCUCUUUCCUCUCUCCCUCUCUCACUAUUUCUUGCUCUCUUACAUGUUAACCGAAAACAAAAUUAAUUUUUAUCAAAAUUGAAAAUAUCCUAAAAAUAAAAUGAAAUUUGUAUUCAUAAUUUUUAUUUUAUUCUCAUAAUUAUGUGAUUAAAGAAUUAUUACUUCCUUGCUCAGAGCCACUAUUCACUAGUGGGCCAACUGUAAGCUUCCUAGUUUAAGUAUGGCCUUCAAAUUCAGUUAUGAAUUAGCAGAUACUGACGAAGGUAAGAUAAAAUGGCAGAUCAUGUGAACCCGGAUUAUAAGAAAACAAUUCCAAUCGUCCAAACAGUUAAGGAUGCAUCUACUUAAAGCCAAGGAAGAAAGCACGGCCAGCGCCGACAGAUGGGCAGUCACCCGCUCAAAUAUGCAUUUCCCAAUCGUCUUGAAAAGACAAUUGGGCCCACACGCUCUCAGCAUGUGAGUGGCGGAUAUUAGGGGAGAAUGUACACGUCAUGGUUCGCCUGGAGUUUACGAUAUAAGACGAAAUGAAUUUCUUCCACCAGGAAGACGCAAGAUUAUUUCGUGUGGGGUAGGCGAUUUGGCCUCUGUCAAACGAACCAUACGAAAUAACAAGAACUGUAAGGAGAAAGAUAAAGCCACACACUUGUGCCACUUGAUGAGUCGGUGUUUAACGUGCCGACAUCUGCGGAUCGUUGACAUUUAGUCGAUCGCUUUCCUAUUUGAAACUUUCCACGCGGCCGAGAUCCCUUCUCGACAAACUCAAACUCUCCUACCACAGGCCAGUCAGUCUUCAACGGAUGAUUUCGCAAUGCAGUGGCCUCUAUUGGUUAAGCCCAUACAUGGCGACGUUGCAGCGCCUUUCCGGGGCGGCCCCAUCUUCAUGGUAACGGCUGCCCAUUUGAAUUAAAAUAUAGGAAGACGCCACACAAAACCUCACCCCCCUCCCUUUCACCGACAUCCUUCCCUCUGAAACGCCAGUAGCGUACAGCUAAUGGCUCUUACUUUACAAGGUGGUGGAUGAGUUGUGUUCGAAGCGGUGUUAAAUAAGGAGGAAAAACGUGGGAAUCAGGGGAAUAGGACGCCUUUAAAAUGGAGGGAUCCACUCCCUGUAGUGCGCAACCAAAGCUUUGAGAACUCUGCGAAUUUCAAGUCGCGUGGUAGGCGUGUGGUGAGGCUCAUUCUCUGUCCAGAAAGGAAAAAUGGGUUUCAGGGAAACUGGGGCUCUGUUACUGACACUUAUACUGGGCUUCUGGGUGACCCAGUUUGAAGCUCAGCUUCAAGUAGGGUUCUAUCUUAGUUCCUGCCCUGACGCGGAGAAAAUCGUUAGAGAGGAGGUGGUUAAGGCACUAGUAACGCAUCCGGAUCUGCCUGCUGAUCUAUUGAGGUUGCAUUUCCACGACUGCUUUGUCAGGGUAACUUUUCCACUUCUAACUCCACACAAAGCUUAUUAUUAACGAUGGAGCCUGCAAGAGACGAGUGAUCGUAUCAUUAUAGAACGUUUAAUAGUUCAUUUUCUGAGUUUGACGUUCUCUGGGGACCUCGCUCUGUCAUAGGGCUGCGAUGGGUCGGUCCUCCUCGAUUCAACUCCAGGUAGCACCGCGGAGAAGGAUUCCCCAAUCAACAACAGCCUUGAAGGCUACGAUGUCGUUGAUAACGCUAAAACCAGACUGGAGGCGAUUUGCCCCGGCAUUGUCUCGUGUGCCGACAUUGUUGCAUUCGCUGCCAGAGACAGCGUCAAACUGGUAACCUUUUUUGAGCAAACGAUUCAUGAACCGUUCACUCACUGCUCUGCUUAUCCUUUAACUUUUUGAGGUAAUCAUACAUUCGCAAUCUUGGGCAGAGCAAGGGCAUUCCCUACGAUGUUCCAGCCGGAAGAAGGGACGGCACGGUUUCCUUGAGCUCGGAGACAUUCACGAAUUUGCCUUCACCCACCUUCAACCUCGACCAGCUCACUAAGAAUUUCGCCAGCAAGGGCCUUACCCAAAAGGACAUGGUCAUACUCUCCGGUGCGUUUUGGAUUCAGAGCAUGCUGCGGAAGCUUAUCCGCUUCCAACUCAAUUAUCUCUUCCAGAACUAAAUUUUGUCGAUAACUUGCCUGAUUUUCAUCCUCACUAAGACCUCUACUUUACAUAAUCAGGUGCGCAUACCAUCGGCGAAGCCCGCUGCUCCUCCAUCACUAGUAGGCUUUACAACUUUAACUCCACCGGAAGGGUUGAUCCGAGCUUGGAUCCAGCCUAUGCGGCCAGACUGAAGAAAAAGUGCCCGCCAAACAGCGUUAACAGCAACCAGGGAGUGGAUAUGGACCCUCCCAGCCCCACUAUUAUCGACUCGAGCUAUUACAGGAACCUCCUCGUUAACCGGGGGUUAUUCACGUCCGAUCAGACCCUCAUGUCUAGCCCGGUGACGGCAUCACUGGUGUUGAGGAACGCCUUUAAUGACUUUCUCUUCAGGAGGAACUUCGCGGUCGCUAUGGUGAAGAUGGGUCGGGUUGAGGUCCUCACCGGAGCCAACGGGGAGAUCCGCAAGAAAUGCAACGUCAUUAACUGAUGGUCUUGCACUGGGCACGUGCGUCUCUUGUCGCGGAACUUGCUACAUAUUUGUGACGCCAUUUUUCUUGUGGUGUCAUGAACAAAUGUUCAACGUACUUCGAUGAAAUUUAUGUCAUCUUUUUUCAAAAUUAAAUAAAUAACUACUCAUUCCUGAAAUAUCGAAGUAGUUUCAUUCUAAAUGUGUUACAGGGUAUGACGGCGUCGGUUCUUCGCCUGUUGAAUCACACGACUUGUUAUUUUCUGUCGCUCGGUGCGCUUACGAUUGUGACAUCGUUAGAGUACAAUCUAUUUCCAUAAAAACGGAGUCCAAAUUCUUCGCCAACUGCAUAUUCCGGAUAUGAUAAUUCUCUACAGUAUGCAGUACUAUUGAUUGAUGAUAAUUUAAUCGACAUUUACAGGAAGCGCCACUAAUGUGGAGAUCGGUGAUAAUGAAGGUCAAAGAUUUUGAGCGACGGAAGCAUAUUCCGGAGAUGUAGCCGGAUGUGACAUGAGGUCUAUUGAGUCCGGUCCACGCGUGGUGUCGUGGACAAUUUUGUAUUGAAAGUCAUGUGUUUGGUAAAGCUGGUAGACAAUUCGUCAUGGCUAUAGCUCAUCGUUGGGUAAAUUCUUGAAUGCAGAAAGGCUCUCCAUGCAGAUCGUGAACUUCCAAACAAAUAUCCAAACGGAUGCGAUUGUGGGCCUCAAAAGUCAAAAAGCUCGACCUACAUGCUUGUUGCAAGUCAGUAAAUGAAAGAAAAGUUUAGUAAACAACGUGAACUAUUUCCUAAACUAUACAAACUCGAAAUCUGUAAUUUGGAUCGUAAUCAGUCCACGGUACAUUCUAGUUCCUAUCCGUCUUCCAUAUUCUUCUUCACGCUGAGAAAAACAAUGUCACAAUGGAGAGCACCUGAAUGUUUGUGAACAGGGAUUAUCUUUCAAUUGUUAGAUUCAUCAAUCAGGAGCUGAUAAUAAAAUCAGGAAUAAGAAUGCACACCACAAGUUCUUUGCAUUCCUAUCGUGAUCUCUUAAGUGAGUCAGCAUGACUCCCUCGUCGUGUGAUCUUUUUGGGGCUAGACAUGUAUCCGAAUCAAUGAAGAUGGGUUAUGCCGCGUUGCAACACAAAUCUUGAUUAAGAUAAAGAAAAAAGUUUGAGACAUGACGUGAAUGAAUAUGCUGUAGCGGACACUAAAAUCGUAAGCCAGUUUUCAAAACAAUAGUUGAGGGGUAUACUAUCAAUUAUAUUUAUGUACUUAUCAAGAUAAAAAUAUUUCAUGUAUUAACCAUUUCUUAAAUUAACAAUUUAUUUCGAUAAAAAUAAAGCUAAGAAAACGAAGCUGAAAUUAAGCCCAGUCCAAAUAUUUCGAUAACAUUAACAAUUUAUUUGGAUAAUGAUAUUUAUAUAAUACUAGAGGCUUAAAUCAAAUUGUAAAGCUAUCACAGGUUAGUUAAAUUCGAAGAAGAGGAAAUUUUAAUGCUUAUCAAUAAGAUUACGAAGAAGUAGUGACGCUGACGCAAAUUUAUUUAGGAUCCUAGAACCGACCGUUUGAAUCAGUCUUUUACCUUUCGAGUACUGUAGAUGUGCACGUGGAACCUAAUGUCUUUCUUUUUAUGUUAUCUUUACGUCUUCUUUGCAUGAUUGCCAGAGACGUAGGACUUUGUCCUUCAAUAUAAUCGUUUUCUUCCGGAAUCGCGGAAUAUAUUAUCCCGGGAUCACAUGCUAAAUUGACCUCUCCCCGCUUCACGCCAAUCUGAUCGAUCGGACGUCCAUUGGACGGCCCCAAGUGUCGCUUAGUUUCAGGCAUUCUACGUGCACCAAUGGGAGAACCAAACAUUGCCGAGCUCAUCACGAUAAGGCAUACGCAUACCCGAUUUGAUUCCGUGCUGGAGAAGCUAUCGUCGUUCAUAGAUAAAUAAAAUAUGCAAGCUAGUUAUGAAUGAAAUUGGUUGAAGAGUCUUCAAAAUCAUACUCAGAUUUAUGGCGUAGUUGUGAAAGGCGGCAUAUAUAAGCUUUCCGAUUCAAUUUGCAAUCAAAUGGAUAUGUGCUUUCAUGUCCUCCAUUGCAUAAAAAAACAUUUUUAUUUAAAUUUUUUAAUAAUGAUAAAAAACACACGACAUUUAGAAAUUUUCGGUUUCAUGCUUAUAUUUUCACCAGUGUAGAGACUUAUAUGUUAAUCAUGUUACUUUUGCACGUAAAAGUGGCGAUGACUGCGCUGACAACAAACACGGCUAUUCAAUCGCUUUCAGGAUAUGAAAAGGACAACAAAUAAAUGUAGGACUCUAGUGCGAAUGGCAGAUAGGAUUUCAUGGGUUCUAAGGCAGUACGGUUUUUCCUCCUCGAUACUAUAGCAUCUUUUUUCAUAUAGCAGUGUCGAGUCGGUCAUCGAUCUCUUGCCAUUGUUUAGAUAUGAGUGUUAAGAGCAUGCUCAGUUCUUCGACAAUAUGUAAUAUGAACUAAACAAUUGUUUUAGAUGCGAUAAGCAGUUAUAUUAGUAAUAGUACAUCAACUGAUAUCACUCCUCUAAAGCGAGGGAUAGCAUGAUCCAGUCCAAACUUAACGCCACUGGACCUGGAUCCUGAUUAGCACUCAGUCUAAGCAGCUGCUGUUUCUAACCGACUUUCAUAUUUUUAAUUAGGAAAUUAGCUUUAUGCAGAUAAAUGUCCAAUUACUCCAAGUUUUAUUCAAGUGCACUACUACUAAAAAGCGCCUCAAAUACUUAUUUUUAUAAAAAACUUUGAGCUUAUGUCAACAAUUCCUCAUGACGAAAAGUUCCCAAUAAUGAGUUUUCUCGUAGCACUAUGAUCUACCCGUACGAAAGGUGUUAAUUGGGACAAACAGAUGUAUCCGCAUUUUUUUGGGAAUUGUAUAUGCAUAUCAAAUUUGAUUUAUGAAUAAGGAAAUUCAUGUUUAAGUAGAAAUGUUUGUUAAUUUCCUUUUCAGCUGACAAAAUAUGAUGUAGCACUGGUGAAUGUGUUCAAGUAUGCUACAGUUUUCAUCUUACUACAUUGGACCGGUUAGUAUACAUGUUCCAUCACAUCCGCACGACAGAUCCGUAACACGAUUUUAUCUCGUGGCUGCCGCGUAGAUAAUUAGUCGAUAAAGUUAAUCCGGAAAAGAGGGAUGGGUAAGGCAUGGGCCAAGCGUCGCCCUCAAUGGUGGACAAAGAGACGGCCUUUCGUGCGAGCUUGGCACGCCCGUGCGUACCUAGGCGUCCCCAGGGCACGCUGCGCGCUGCCCUCUACUAGAAGAUCGAUAACGGACCCACCCAUUUCUUAGGGUGCCCGCGAUAAUGUCGGCUUUUCUCAUUAACGAAUUAAAAAGUCAUAGACAGAGAGAGAGANNNNNNNNNNNNNNNNNNNNNNNNNNNNNNNNNNNNNNNNNNNNNNNNNNNNNNNNNNNNNNNNNNNNNNNNNNNNNNNNNNNNNNNNNNNNNNNNNNNNNNNNNNNNNNNNNNNNNNNNNNNNNNNNNNNNNNNNNNNNNNNNNNNNNNNNNNNNNNNNNNNNNNNNNNNNNNNNNNNNNNNNNNNNNNNNNNNNNNNNNNNNNNNNNNNNNNNNNNNNNNNNNNNNNNNNNNNNNNNNNNNNNNNNNNNNNNNNNNNNNNNNNNNNNNNNNNNNNNNNNNNNNNNNNNNNNNNNNNNNNNNNNNNNNNNNNNNNNNNNNNNNNNNNNNNNNNNNNNNNNNNNNNNNNNNNNNNNNNNNNNNNNNNNNNNNNNNNNNNNNNNNNNNGGAGGGAGAGGGAGAGGGGGGGCAAAAAGCAACAAGACGGGCUAAAUUUUGUUCGACGCAACAUGCAUAUUUCAAACUCUCUGGGAAGCUUUCCUGUUGAACAGCGGGACUUUACAUUGUGCAGCUGGACAGACUAAGUCGGCUGUCGUAAACACGGCGAUCUAUUUGAUGCCUGCGCCGAGGACGCAAAAGACUAUCGGAAUCUGGUGGGGUCAAACUCUAUCCUAUCAUUCAAAGCCUCUAGGAAAGGAAAGUUUAGCACUUACGGAAUGUCAAGUCACCUACCACGCUGUUCGGUGUGUUGGUCAACUUAUGGGGAACGCCCGUGAUUCUACGAUCGUUGUCGACGUUUUUUUUCUAAUAGUCAACAUCUGUUUUUAUUUGAAGUCAUACCUUCCCGCGUUCUCGCCCACCCACCGCGCGCUUCAUCCGCGGCGAUCUAAUUGGUUUUGGCAACCUCUGGUAUUUACCGAAAGAGGCUGACUUUCAGGCAUCAGGCAUGGGAACACCGCUUACCUGCUAACUGCCACCAAUAAAUAGUGUUCAUUCGCUUUCGCACAUCCUUGAUUCCCUGUCCCAUGAACUCUGUGACACAAGCACACAACGUGUGCAGUUUUGAUCUAGUCAGACCAUAUCGUUGAAUAAGUGGAAAGCAAAAUCCAUGGAUUACAGGGUAUACAUCUGAUUCGUAGCCUAUAAAUAUAUCUCCAAGGCCGUGAUACACUGUACCAAAACAGUUGUAAAGCUCCGAGGAAUUCGAGAAGUACCUUGCACAGUAGGAGAUCCAAGAUCAAGAAGAUAACAUGGAUUUGAGGGGAACGAGAAUGCUCUUGGUCCUUGUGCUUGGAUUGUCCAUAAGUUCUCCGCUAGAAGCUCAGCUGAAAAUAGGGUUCUACAAGAGCACUUGCCCUCAAGCCGAGACGAUCGUGAGAGAGGAAGUCAACAAGGCCUUCAAAGGCGAUAAUGGUCUGCCGGCGGAUUUCGUGCGUAUGCAUUUCCAUGAUUGCUUUGUUAGGGUAAGCAUCCUACCAGUCAUCAUCAUUGUUCCUGACUUAGGUAGAAUGAUCCUCGUCCCAGAUGUGGAUUUUCUCAGAGUCGUAAUUUUCGUCUUUUAGGGCUGUGAUGGUUCGAUCCUCAUCGACUCUGCCGGGGGCAACACCGCGGAGAAGGACUCGUCUAUUAACAACCCUAGUCUGGAAGGCUUCGACGUCAUCGACAACGUGAAAACCAGGCUGGAGGCUUCCUGCAAAGGCGUAGUUUCUUGCGCCGACAUCAUUGCAUUCGCUGCCAGAGACAGUGUCAGACUGGUAAGUCUUCCGUUAAGGAAAUCAUCCAUAUCGCAAUACUCUGCCCUUUCUCUCACUGUUUCGACUGAUUUUACCUUCACCCUUUGCAGAGCAAGGGUAUCUUCUAUGAAGUGCCCUCGGGAAGAAGGGAUGGAAAAGUCUCCUUGAGCUCGGAGACGUUCGCGAACUUGCCUCCUCCCUCCUUUGACCUCAAUCAGCUCACUCAGAGUUUCGCUAGAAAGGGCCUGACACAGGAGGACUUGGUCACCCUCUCUGGUGCGUACAUAUGUGAUGCCAUCGAUCGUCUAGGCCGCUUCCAAUGAACUCAUAACCGAAAAAUAUAUCAAAUCCUAACCAGUCGUCACUAAGAGAUGAUAUCCCGUGGUGUUGUAUGUGACCAGGCGCACAUUCCAUUGGAAAAGCUGACUGCUCCGCGUUCAGCAACAGGCUCUACAAUUUUAACUCCACCGUGCAGACGGACCCGAGCCUGGACCCAGUCUAUGCAGCCCAGCUGAAGCAGAAGUGUCCCCAGGGCACCACGGGUUCGAGCGUGCCCAUGGACCCUCCCUCUCCCUAGGUCCUCGAUUCCAGCUACUACAAAGGCCUUCUCGAGAACCGUGGCCUCUUCACCUCUGAUCAGACGCUCAUGUCCAGCCCAGCAACGGCGAAGCAAGUGAGGGCCAACCGGAACAACAAUUUCCUCUUCAACAAGAAUUUCGCGGCGGCAAUGGUGAAGAUGGGUAAAAUUGACGUCCUCACUGGGACCGCAGGCGAGAUCCGUUUGAACUGCAGGGUCGUCAACAAAUGAUUUUUAUGGGUCGUCAACAUUGUCACUAUACCUGUCCUGUGUAUCUAAUAGUCUCCCCCCCUCAUGAGCAAAGUAUAAAGCUCAUGGAGUAAACCUAUUGGCAGGCACUCUGUUCUGUGGGGUUCCAUUGAAGUAUGCCAUCGUUUCCCAGUUAAUUGUCAAAUAAGAAUAUGGUUGUUGUAAAGGUACUCAUUUAUUUGACGAGAAGGACCUUCUUCUCUUUAUUUUCUUUGUUGUUAAUGGUGCAUAUUUACUGAAGAGGUUGAAAUUCAUUCCACGAUCUUCAAUUGGCUCAUGUUAAAAGUCCAGGUGUAACAACGUGCUUACUCAUACAUCUAAUCAGGUCGUUGAAAACUGGUUUUAUAUUUAAAUGACUGAUUUCUGUCAACAAGGAGACCCAGACCACAUUGACGGUGUUUCAGGACAACCUGAAAUUGCAUCUACAAUUCAAGAUACCCUUCAAUUAAAACUUCUGAUAAUUGAGAAAAAUAUCAAUUCUAAUUGUCUAGUUAAACUUAUAGACUAUGUUUCCAAGGAUUACUUUUCAAUAUGCUAUCACUCGGUCGGUCUGGACCAGAAUAGCAAGGUUGAGAUGGCAUGGUGAACAUCCAUCAGACCACAAUGGUGAGGUGGGAGGCCUCAGUAUUGUUAAUCACGCCCCAACUAAUAUUAUUGUCGAGGAUAUGGUAUACCUCGACAUUUUAAAACCUGAAUGAUUUUGAUGAGGAAGACUUUGUGUGCAUCUCACAAUGGAGCUAUUAGGUUACUGGAAUAGGUAGCUCUGGUUGUCUAUUAUCAAUCGAUGCCAAGAAAGAUGGUCGAGAUAUGCUCGUCACAAAGAAGUUUCGCUUCCGUUGAUAUUCAUCAUCAAUAGAGUCUUGUGUACUCCAAAUAUACCCCCUCUUAGCAAAUAAGUAGAGAGGGUUACAAGAGUGAUCCUUAACCAUGUUGACAAAGAUAGAAAACACGGUGGCAACAACAGAGGAAGAAGGAACAAAAGGCAACACAAGCCUGGUAUUGCCAAUAAAUAGUGUUAGAAAAACCAAAUACGUGGCAGGCCUAUUAAUAUUGCAAGGAUCCCAAAUACGAAAAACCCAUGAAUCAAAAAUAUCCUUCCUCAUUAACCAAGAUAAUGCAAAAAUUCAAUAAUAUCUCGGAAUGAUUAAACAGGGCCAUGCGUUCAUAGUUAUCAGAGGAGAAUAAACAAUAAAAAUAAAGUAACAUCAACACGAAGUGUGCCCAACAGAAGAGUAAAUGUAAUGAGAGGACGAUUUGUUUUGUCCUCCAGAUGAAAGCAGAAGACCACAGCUAUAAGCUUUUUAAUCAAUGCGGACUUAAUCAGAACGCUGAUAAGACUUGAUACCAUGGAAUCAUGCGUAAUAUAAAAAUUAACAUUAUGGCAUGGUUAAAUGGUAAAAAGAUAAUGAAAAUUAAAAGCUCAAAGUAAAAGUUAUUACUCACACGGUUUACCCUGACUAAUAUUAGCAUGCACUCAAUAGAUAUCUUACAUCGCGUGAUCAAAUCCGUAAAUGACUUGAAAACGACGAGAUGAUAACAGAAGGGUCCUCAACUAGAACUUGAAGUAUUAGAGUGAGAAAUGAAUUGGUUGUUAAUAAAAACUGCUAAAGAGGUCAUUAUUAGAGAUGUUUUUACCAAUAAUAAAAAUCUAAUAGCAAGCAUAAUGAACGAGAAUUCCCGUGAUGAUUUUGAUAAUACAAGUUAAAACUCGCAGAAAUUUACAUGACUUCCCCUUAAAAGUAAUAUUUAGGAAUUCAAGCGCGCCUUCUAUACGUCAGCAAUACUUCACCAACUUUUUAUACCCUUUGAUAAAUUGCCUCGACUUGCUAGUAAGGACAUAAAUACUGAGUACCUGAGAAUGUACGUGGCUGUUUUCUUCCUUGCGACUGCCAUUCUGCUGGCCCCUGUGGUGUAGUUCUUUAUCAGCAACUGCGCCACCGUCUUGUUGUUAUCUGAGUGGCGAUUCCAAAGGCAAACCCUCAGGAGAGAAUUUCAUUAUGGAUUCAGCUCUUACACAGGGAACAGUUUUAUUAGUAACGCUAGCGGAUUCAAGGAAGAGGGCCCCAGUAUUUAUACACCUGAUGGGGCCCCACAAUAAACAUCCGAUAAGGGACUAGAUAUGUAGGCGCCCCCCACUGCCCAAUUUCUUUUUCUUUCCACACAACACAACACCUCUACAUACAGGCACAUGAGAGUAGGUGAUUUAUGGAGGUCAACGAGAAGAGAACGGACUGAUUCAAUGUUACUAUUCAUUGUCACCUAGUCGAAUUGUGGUCAACGGCUUUGUGAGAAUUUAAAUUGAGAGAUGCGCUUAUUGCGUCGUCUCUUCCCCAUCUGUCGCAUUUGAUGUGAUUUCCAGAAACUUUCUUUUAUUUAGAUUCCACGGAGCAGCUCAACUUCCCCCCCCCCCCCACCAAAUUUUCCCUACCACAUCGUCUAUACAUGAUACCAUCCUUUCACAUCAUUUCAUAUUCAUUUUUCUACGCCACAUGGCGCGGGGGAACUACUUAAUUGUGGGCCAAUGACUGUGACUGGGAGCCUAAGAACGAUCGGGCUGGGGGAGUGGCGGUGAUGAUGGCCCUUCUGUUAUCUUCAUGCAUCGCAAUGACUGUGACCGCGUGGUUUCGUCAGUAUCUCUCCCUUACCUCUUCCCUGUACAAGUUUCGUUUAUGAGGGGAGACCGAAUUUCGGCGUGCUGGAGUAAGGAUACCGUUCUUGUUUCUAAUCACUGAGCCCCUUUUCCGUAAACUCUAUGCCUUGGAAAAGGGUCAGGAUACGUGGUUAACUGCAUCUAUGGUCAAACCCUGCUGCAAAUGCACUGGAUAUGAAGUUCUCUUUUGAGCUGCUUUCCAAGUCGGUGCAACUAAUAAAAAAGGUUCUGCUACGUAAAGAAAUGAAAUGAACACUUAGAGUACUUCUGUUGAACAAGACAAAGCGAGACAUUAGGAGUCUCGCCACUGUAUGAUUACGACAACCUGAGAUAUACUCAUAUCACAAUGUUGGAGAACAUUAUAUUUGGUAAAGCUUAGGUAGAAGACCAGCAUAAAUGAUGAAAGCAGAUUUGAUUCGUAGUUGAAGGCAAAUGAUUAAGAAUACAGAAGAAUUACUGAUUGGUCCACGCAAACUCAAUUAAAGCAACUCUUGAAAAAUCAUAAUCUCAAGAAAUCAUAAUAGCAUGGACCAUAGAAUGAAGUUUCAUCUUGUUUUCUUAAAUUGGCAUCUUCCCCCGUUUGGAAUAGAAGUCAAUAAGCGCCUCGAAUCAAUAGUGAGAAUAAGUCCAGAUUUUAUACUCAUAUCAAGAAAGAAGAGUGGUUCACUCGUCAACUGGAGAGCUCAUUUGAUGUAGAACCAGCAGAAGCACUAGGUAAAGAAAAUGGAACCCUUCACGAAGACAGGAGAGAGGAUGAAAUGUCAACGGAUAGACGGGCAUGGUCAUGGGAGUCACACUUAUUACAUCCACGACUUCAUUCAACCUGUCACAAUGCAGCUACAAGGAAUGUAUCUACCCAUGAGAAAACAGGUUCACCUUGGACGUGCAUGGACCGACACUAAAUUCAUUAGUACACACGAUAUGAAGCUUCCAUCAGUCCUCUUGGUCAAAUAUCGAAUCAUUUCCAAGAUCUUGAUCGCUCAUCUGACUUAUUUUACUGCCACAAACAUUAUGAAGCUACGCGCAGUCGAUACGGUGAGUUUACUCACUUCCGUGGGAAAAGAAGUCAUGCAUUUUAGAGUGCGAUUCCUCUUUCAUAUCAUACUGUUGAAAUCAUUGCUUCAGCAGAGGAAGAGCAGCAUUCCAUUAUUAGAAUAUCCUCAGUCCCAUCAGUCCUCUUGGUCAAAUAUCGAAACAUUUCCAAGAUCUUGAUCGCUCAUCUGAUUUAUAUACUGCCACAAACAUCAAUACAGUGAGUUUACUCACUUCCGUGAGAAAAGAAGUCCUGCAUUUCAGAGUGCGAUUCCCUCUUUCAUAUCAUACUAUUGAAAUCAUUGUUUCAACAGAGAAAGAGUAGCAUCCAUGAUUAGAAUAUCCUUAGUCAAUUCUCACUGAUUCAAGGCUGCACUUGGACUACUCAACGAGCUCAUGAAAGAUACAUGAGACAAAAGUUGGAAUAUUGAUAACUUGUGAAAAUUAUAUGUUAAUGUGUUAUUAAAUCAAGGAGAAUAAUAUAUAUUUUGAGAAUUAUUUUAUAAGUUAUCAUAUUAAUUAUUUUACUUGUCAUUUUGAUGAACCUCCUUAAAUCUUGAUUUAAAUUGAUAUUUUAUGAAUAACAAAAAAUUGAUGAAAAUUUAUUUCAUAUGUUGAAGCUUAAUUCUCAUUUAUUUUAUUUUGAAAUAAAAUCCUAUUGCUUAAAUUUUUCUGAUUAAUUGAAAUAUAUUUUUUAUAAUAUUUUCAAAAUUUUUAGUCAUUAAAAUAAAUAUAAUAAAUAAAAAUUAAAAUAAAAAUGGGCACACCGUUACAAGCUGGAGGCACACUACUUAACAGGCCUGAUGGGGGUCGGAGGCCACACCAUAUCGAGGAACAGGCUCAAAGGAUGCACCGCCUUGCAGCCCAUGUGAAUUAGGUUGUGGAUCUAGAUUUUAGGUUCAGGUCAAAUGAAUCACCUCCAGAGCUUACUAGGAGCUAGGUCUCAAUUCGGAUCAUCCUUAGGAGCUAGUAGUCAAGUCUAAUCAUCCCUUUCAUAGGUGCUUGUCAUGAGUCAAAGUGGUAGUUUAUUAUAUAUCGUUAAUAGCCUACUACCUUUUCCGAUAUUGCACUAAACUUCUUACAUUUUUCAAAUAUGACGGUAGAGCAGUAGUAGCCGCAAGAUCUAAUGAUCUAGACGCUGCCACAUCAUCACCCACCAUCAUACAAAAAGUAGUGCUAGAUCUAACAAUGGUCCACAUCACCACCCAUCAUUAUAUAAAAAGUAAUGCUAGAUCUAACAACAACCGCCAUCAAAUCCAAUGCAUCAAAAUUGGCCACAUCUCCAGCUACCAACAUGUGGUCCGACACCCACACGGAUCCUGAUAAAACAUAUAAAAAAAGAGUGAAAGCUCAAAUAGAUUUGAUGGUGAUUAAGAGGCCAUGUCAUCCCCUUCAAAGCAAAAUGAUAGCGCGAGAAUCCAAUAGUCUUCAUCAAGCCACGCAAUAGAGAAUAUAUUCACAAAUAUUAGUUAUCAUUUGAUAAAAUAGAUAAUAUCGAUUAUUUGCUCACACGGCCUAAGGGUACAUUUAUAAAUAUUGAUUAUUGUCUGGUAAUACAGAUAAUAUCAAUCAUUAUUGCACAAAAAAAAGAUAAAAUUUCAAAAAAAUUAGAGAAAAAUUGGAAAAAUAAGGUAGAAAAUAGAAAGUUAAAAAUAAAAAUAUGAUUUGUGGAUCUAGGGAACAAAAAGGAGGAAGAGGAGAGAGAAAGGGAUUUUUUUCGAGUUGUUUUUGAAUUGUUGUUGAGAGAAAAUAAUUGUUCUUCUUUUUUAUGCAAAAAUAGAGUUCCAAGGAAUCUACCAUUGAUUUUUGAUCAUUCCCUUCUACUCUUCUCACCUUAAAUCUAUUUUGUUGAACUGGAUGCAAGAUUGGGAAGCACUACUUAUGUAGCACACUUCAAGAGCUCAUCAACCAAAGAAAGUGAUUUUGAGGAAACAAUAGACAUAGAGGGUGAGAAUAGCACCCUCAAUGAAUCACAUCACAACAACCCUUCAAAUAAGGAAGGAUCUAAUCAAAUUGAGGGAGGAAAUAUCAUGGAAGGUGUAGACGUUACCCUUGAUCAAGCUGCUAUUCGGCCAUGCUGCCAAAAGAAACGCCCCACAAUAGAAGGUUUUCUUUAUUAUUAACUUUUUAUUAUUUUGUGCAGAGAGGCCUAUAAAUCAGCCCUCAAACCUUUCUCUUGAUAGUGAAUGAGAUGAAGAGUCUCUUCCUUACUAGAUCAUGAGAUCCCGUCACCCCAGCUUGGGUUGGUCGGAGGACCCUACCACUCUUAGUCUAGAGUACCCCUUCCCCUCCCUUCUUUUUCUUCUAUUGCCACCAACCCCUACUCCCUGCACCAUUGAUACUGCCAUCACCUGCCACUGUCACCAUCAUCACCUCCCUUUCCACUGCCACUGCCUAUCCAUCAUCCUCUUCACCACCGGCAGUCCUUCCAGCAACCAUCACUACUCGCUUUCAUCCCUUCUUCUUGACCCUUCACCGCCGAGCUUGCUAUACUGCUGCCUACCUCUACUGUUCACCAUCGACCUCUGCCCUUGCCUCCCACCAUCACUGCCUCCUCUCGUUUCCCUCUCUCCCCACCAUUGGAUAUCGCCAUGUUUAAAGCUAGGGUUAUUUCAUUCGUGGGCUUGAGUUCCCUAGCCCACUUCAGCAGGCCCACCGCCACUAUUCCUAUUGAGCUGGCCGCAGCCCAAGUCUAUUGGCAUGAGUCAUCUGGCCAUCCUGACCAAAACUGUUCCACCCCUCCAGCUGCAAACUGCCACAACCGACAGCCUAGUCUACUCGGUCAACAAUUGCAGGGCAGUCAAUGGUCAACUUCAGGAAUCCAUGAAUCCUACCAAGGCUCAAGUAUAAUUUCUAAACUUCUUUAUUAGUUACCUAGUCAAUUGUUCUUUUAAUAUAUUCUCUUGCCACGGUCACUUGAGGGAAGCAUAGGAUAGCUACCUUUUUUAUUCAGCUGAUCAUUCCCUAUGAUAAACCUUUUUCUGAUCUGUUAAAUCUUGGUACCCUAGUCAAUAGAUUUCUUAAACUGCUCAAUCCUUCAUUUUAUUAUUGCAGGAGAUUUCUAACUAUAAAGAUGUUUCUUUUUUGACAAAACUCUCACAAAUAUUUAUGAUUCUACCCUUUUAUUUUUACCUCACUUCAGCUACCUAGAGGUCGACAUCAAGCCAUGCAUUCUAAUAGUUGUAAGUUUGAUUCUUAAUAAAGUUUUUAUUAUUUUAUUAUUUGAUUUAUGAAGAAAUUUAUUUUCUUAGCUUUAAUCAAUUCUUUACUUGUUUCUUUUUCAUUUUCAUCAUUCUAAAGCAUAUUUUAUUUUAGUAGAAGUUUUAAAUUCGCAUCUAAAUUUAUUUAUUAUUUUAUUUCCUUUAUUACUUUGAAUAUCAAAUUCAUAAUCUCUUAAAUAAGAGAAUAAGAAGAUUUCUAAAAGCUUUUCUUGAGGAGAAGACCUAGCUUACUAUUAUAUUCAUUUAAUAUUAUUUUUGGUGAAUCUAGUUCUAUUAAUUAUUAAAAUUGAAUGAUGAUUCUAAUAACGACUUAGGGUCAUAUCAAAUAUUUCAUUGAGAAAUAAUAUAUUCUCACUAUGCUGAAGUUCACAAGAAAGCUUAAUGCUUCCAUGCAUGGGUGAUGCUAUUUAGCAUUUGAUGGCCAUUUGGCUUAUUACAUUUCAUUGAGGACUUGAUAGUAAUCUUAAAAUCUAGAACAAUCCAAGAGAGGUGCAAACACAAUUUCAGAUGGGAAUCUAAACAUUGUUCAAUUUCAUAUCAAAUAUCAAUCUUAUCUCUUCUUUUUUCCUGGUGAGCACUUCGAUAUUGCCCAUCUUCACCAUAGCCUCAGCAAAUCUCUUCUUGAAGAAGUGCUUGUUGGCUGCGUUCUGCUUCACCAGAUUAGCAGUCUUGGAACUUGACAGGAGCGCCUAGUCUGAAUGGAAGAGGCCCUUGUGAACAAGAAUAUUUUUGUAGUAGCUAGAGUCGAAGACCUCAGGACUGGGAGGGUCCAUCGGGACGGUCAGGUUCGGGUCGGUGCUCCCUUUGGGACACUUCUUCUUCAAUUUCUUCGCGUAAGCCGGAUCCAAGCUCGGAUCGGUGGUGGCUGUCGAACUGAAGUUGUGCAGCCGACUGUUGAUGCUGGUGCAGUGAGACUUGCCAAUGGUGUGCGCCCCUGAAAUUACAAGAAUAGUUCCGCAUGAGAAAAUAAAAUCGUAGGAAUCACAAUAUAUGGGUUCAAUUGUGUUCAAGUUCCACUGACAGAUCUCUUUAAACGUUUAUAUUCUUCAGCCCAGAUAUGGUGACCAAGUUGUCAUGAUUUAGACCCUUUCUGGCAAAGUUCUGUGUGAGCUGUGAUAAAUUGAACAUCGGAGGUGGUAAGUAUUGAAUGUCUCCAAGCUAUGGGAGAUCGUCCCGUCCUUCCUUCCUGAGGGGACUUCGUACCAAAAUCCUCUGCUCUGCUGUCACGGAACAAAGUCAACCGAGCAGUCAUGCGCAUCCACAGGGACACCAAGUCUUAUGUUCAUAAGUGACAGGAUCUAGUGAAGAACAUUAGUGUAUUGAUUCUACCAGCUGAAAACUAUCUCUGGAAGCAAAAGUGAGGAUGUCGGUGCAGAAAGGAACACCCUUGCACUACUUCCCCAGCUUGGCCUUAUCCUCGUUGAUGAUCUGGAACCCUUCUAGGCUAGGGUUAUUGAUGGAUGAGUCCCUCUCGGCAGUGUUGUUUAAGGUGGAGUUGAUAAGAAUUCAUCCGUUGCAACCUGAAAACAUCAGAAGGAAUGAAGGUAAACUAGCAUUGACGAGUUAUGGUAAUCGAGCGUAAUCCUCUUCUCGAUGAGAGACAAAAAUAUCGGCAUUACUGGCUACGCAACACACCCUCACAAAACAGUUGUGGAAAUCCAUCCUGAUGAAAUCGGCGAGCAGACCCUUGUCCUUCGUCGCCUUCGUUACAACCUUCUUCACAAUGAACUCUGCAUGGGGAUGUCUUUUCAUAAUACCCGACUCAAAUUGUAGGUUCUGCCGUAGCACUGAGACACAUGCCAAGCAAUAGGGCCAGAACCCUAUCUCUCGACUUAUUCUUGACCCCAUGAUCGGUCGAUCUCUGAUAGCUUUGCAUGCAUUCUGGUACGUCACUUAUAACCAGGGCAUCGGUAGCCCUCUGGUAUUUUAAUCGAAAUUAUUGAUUAUCCAUUUAAGUAAAUUAUGGUAUGGUAGAGCUAGUUUGUGGAGGUUGGGAACUACCACAUCGUGAGGAAGUAUUAGGAUGAGGUUGAAUGAGAGUGGUUUCCUUGGAUAUAGACUUUGACAGCUCGUCUUGAUGGCGAGGGCACCUAGUGUUGACCAGCGACAAGUUGGCACAAAUAGAAGAGAUUAAUUGUAACAGACUAUGAUGAUGACAGUAAGCGCAACACAGUAGUUCUGUGAUAAUCAAUUGGAUAUCAAGAUGAGUUCAUGUUAUAACAUCGCUAAGAUUCUUAGGAUCAGAUAACUCAACUUAUUCCUGAUGGAGAUCAAGAUUCGCUAUCUCACAAUUCUCCAAACUUGAUGUAAGGAGUGGAUCAAGAGGCAACAUCAAAGCCUUCACCAAGACACUUCCCAAGGAUGAGAGACCUCCUUUCACACCAAGUCAACAUGAUGAUCUUAAGGAAGAAAAUUCAAACCUUGAAGAUCACUGAGGUCAAAGAUAAGGAAGGAGACUAUGAGGAGGUGGCUAGGGCACCCUAACCUUGUCCCCACAUCUACUAUUGACCAAGUCAACACCCAUUAGAGGUUUGAUCAAACCCUUUUACCUUCCUUAAACCCUUCCAACCCUUUCUUAUCAAAGCUCAUCCUUAUCUUGAAUCAAUAUUUGACCCUAAGAAGCCUAUUGACUUUUCUUUUAAAAUCUUCCAUCUUUUCUCAUAGGCCUAACUCCUCAUAGGCCUAAAUGGCAUCUAGAUCUCGUAGUUAAAGGCACCCUUUAAAAUAGGAGAAAGUGGUUGUAACUGCCCACUUCUUGUGGGUAAUCUUCUGUCUCCUCCUCUCAUAUGAAGGGAUGUCUCCCUUGAAUUAAGGUGGUUAAUCCACCCCAUUCUCUCCUAUAAAUAAGGAGGCAUUUUAUGUAAUAAGAGAAGGAUUGAAUGAAUGAAAAUCUUACACUUUCUUCUCACUUGAAUCUUAUCUCUCUCUUGAGUCCCUUCUCCCCUCUCCUGAGUCCUUCACUCGGCAUCUUUCUUUCUCUCUUGAAGGUCUCUUAUCUCUCGAGCUUCUCUCCCUUCUCCCUUGAAUUUCUCUCAUUUUCCCCCUCAAGUUUCUUCCUUNNNNNNNNNNNNNNNNNNNNACUUCUAAGCCACCUCAUCUCUUUAUCCACAAACGCUUUUUCUUCAACUUGUGAGCAAUCAUUUAUAAAGGAGAUCAAAGCCAUUCUCAAAUAGUCUAAAGGACCCUCAAGUAAUCAAGAAUUCUCCAUAAGGUAUUUGAUUUUUCAUUCCUCUUGAGUGCUUAAUUUGAUCAUCACUUGAAGUCUAUUGCUCUAGAUUUUUACGUGAAACCUAUAGAAUAGCCACCUUUACCUAUUUAGUGAUCCAAAGCCCUCGUUCCUAAGUUUGAUUUGUCUUAUUGAAUUAGAGUUCUCAAUCAAGAUAACCAUAAAUCUAGAUCCUAUCUAAAUCAAAUUGUGAGUUGAGUGAUUUGACUAUUUAAGUAAAUUUAUUAAAAGUCAACCUUUAAUCCCUCUUCUUUAAGACUUUUUGUGAAAAUUAUAAAUCUCUCUAUUUGUUCUGCAUCAAUUCCUCAAGUCGGAUGAGCGUUAAAUUUCGUGAAACAUGAACUCUACUAAUCUUUGGUGCCCCUUUUAUUAGUCUACUGGAUUGAUGAGUAUGCUUCUCUUUUGUGCAUGAAAAAUUGAAUUCAUGGGAGCUGGUCAGCGCUAUUUAUAUGAUGUGCUCUUCCGACAAAAGAUGCAUGUCCAUCACACUUCAAUGUGAUGGCAGCUUUAUGAUAGUCGAGAAGAUGAUGGCACGAGAAUCAUGUAUUUUCUUCUGAUUUCUCUGGCAUUGUUUCUGCUUUCCCUAUCUUCAAUGGUUUUAAUUUGAAUCUGGUUCUGGCUCCUCUUAGGAAUAUUCAUUUAUACAUUUGUACUGAAAGAAAACUCCGGUUGGAGGGAAGUGCAACCCGGAUAAAGAGCAGAUGAGAGUACCAAGGUAACGCUCUCAUCCCGAACGGUACUGAUGGUCUCUUAUGACGGGACUAGAAGAAAGCAGUUGGUGAGGAACUAUUAUCGGCCCGACGGAGCCAGUCGCUGUUCCUGUCUAAUAAUAGAGAAAUCAGAACCCGACGGGGAAAUUUCGCAAAAUUCUCAGCAUCAAGAGAUCCAUCUCGAUUGACUACUCAACCGCUUCGUUAUCUUGGGACGACAUCUUUAAUCAGGUUUUUUUUAGCUUUUGAUAUGUCUGAUGAUUAUCUGGCAAGUGGACAUAAUAGCUGAAACUUUGAAAGCUCCAUUCCAUCUUCCAUCGUUAGUAAUAUUCUUUUCUUCCAGAACCAUUUAAGAUGGGUUUGGUGGUCCAAUCGCCACCAUCCAAAUUGGCAUAGUUCUCGACUGUCAUAAUCUGAUCGUAACUUGAUUUACGCGGAAUCACGUUACUUCGGCGACGAAUAAAAGAAUAUUGUUCUGACUAGGUUCAACCAAUCCAAGAUGUGAUACUUCAGGCUUUGGUGGGCGAGUAUAAAUGCCAACAUCUCUCGCUAAGCUGUAGAGAAAAAUAUGGCAAGUGUGGGAAUAAUUUAAUAAAAGUAAUAGCACAGAAUAUAAUGGCAAUAUUGCCGUUGGCCUUUUCUGCCGAAUUAUGUUAACGGUUUACGCGUUUAUUUUAACGGAGUUAGUAAAAGCAGCUUGAACUCGGACUGACCUUGAUGUGAGGUUAAUUCGGCGCGCUUACAUUCGGUCUGGGCACGCAAAGACUAGCUCAAUGGAGAAAACAGAUAAAUGUUCGUGUAACAAUUUACAACUACUUUUAGAGGGUGCCCUGGUCGAUACCUAUUUCAAACGGAUUGUGACUGAGGUCAGGAUAAUAUGUAGAGAAUACUAAUCCUCCUGCAAAGUCAUUCCAUGAUUAAAUCCCGUAACUCUCACAUUUUCUGGAAGAUUUUGCGAAUAACAAAGAACACGGAGUUCUCUUAACUGACAGAGUUUACUAUACAGGAUCAAUCGUCCUCAAUAAGCCCAAUAGUCUGAAUACAAUCUUGCGGUUCAAGACAUCGAAACCUGCCUCGAUCUUCACAAAACUGGAAUGUAAAAGGUUGUUUCAGGACCAACGUUCUAUUUCAAAACUAACAAGUGAGAAAACAAAUUAUUAUGACACCGUUACUCACCUAUAGAAGGAAAGUGGGGACUUGUGCAUAGCAUGUGGUAGAACAAGUCUCUGUUCAGGGUGACAGAGGGCUAUAAAUAUAGCCCUCACAGGAACAGAAAAGGCACCGAAGAAGUCCUCUCGAUCAUAUUUCCCACCCCCGUUUUUCCCUUUUCUUUUUCUUGUAACGAACCGUCAUCUCGAGGUUCUAUCCUGCCAACAUUUACUUCAUUGAGAAUCUAUACUACUAGUUCCCUCUCAUCUACUCAGAUCCGAUCCUCCUAACGAGGAUCCCAUCACAAGCACAGACUAAUCAUUGCCAUCUAGAUCAGUCAGUCGAGAUCUUAGUUCUUGGGGUCAAGAGCUUGACCCUGAAGCAUCAUUCAAAAUGGCUUAAUAGGUAGUUCAGUUUAUGGAUUCCUUAAUACUAAGUUGAUAAAAAACGGAAACGCCUAAUUUUUUUUAUUAAUAUGAUCAUAAUGACCAUUGAAACCCCUAGCAUCUUCAAUUCAUAUACUAAUUUAAUUAGCAGGUGAAGCAUGGAUAAUUGGAGCUAUUUUAAAUUUCAUUGUAUUUACUGUUUUACUAUCUACGAAUGCAUGCUGACCCUUCUUAUUUAUCUUGCUACUAUAAUUGAGAAAAAAGUUCCUCUUCAAUGCAAGCAAAAGAAGGCCAUCUUAGCUGUUUGUAGAGUUCUCUUUGUUUGCUUUGUCUAUUUUCAAUUUUAAUCAUAAAUUGCCCUGAUUACUGAUAACGGUUUUCUCAGCAACAUUUGUGACACAGGCGUGAAAUGCUCUACUUUGUCCGCUUUCUUUUUCUUUUGAAUGGGCACAAGUCUCUAAGGUUGAGCUAUAAAUCUGUUUGUUACAUGGCAAGGAAUUUUGUGAACGCAACUGUACUGAUGUAGUGCUCAACUAUUGGCCACAUUAUGCCUAUAUAUAGAGACUGAUUUUCCCUCAAAACCCAUCAGUAGGUUUUCAGAAAAUCUCUAAAAUUGAUUUCUUCUUUUUAUAUUAGAAAAAUUGAUCCAUUAAUAAAUUUCGCUGAAUAUAGGGUGAGAUAUUAAACUAUCAAAGAAUAAGUUAAAUUCCUAAUCUUCUCUAUUAUAGUACAUCAUUUCUUUUAGCUAAUUUGUUUAAAUUUUGGUCCUCCAUGUUUCCACCGAAUGUAAGAUGUAAUUUCAUUCCUAUAAGAUGUAAGAUUCACGAUAGGUGACCACGGUCAAAACACUGAAUAUUCUUUGAAAUUUGAGUUCAUGUGAUAUUGUUACAAAAUAUCCAAUGGUCAAGUGGUUUGGACUUGUUCCUAAUAUAAUAUGUUUCUUGAUGAGUUAUUUUGCUCAAUUUCUCUCUCCCCCUAUGGCAUAUUACAUGACUCUAUUUACAUUUCAUUCAGUUAGCAUAAAUAAAAUUAUACUUUAACGUGAAUAGUGAUAUUGUGAAUAAAAACUUAUAUAUGUAACUAUAAAAAGGUUUAUUUAAUAUCUUAAAGUGGACUUGGAUGACUAUUGAAAUUGUUAUAAGAGGUAAAAUAUUAAAUGAAUAUCCAAUUACUAAUGACGACUUGAAACUGCAAAAAUAAAUGAUUCAGAUAUGCAUGUGAAUUUACUAUAUACUUUAUUUGCAAUAUGUCACUAGAAGACGAGAUACAUACCGAAGUCAUGUCAGAAUUUAUUCCUUUUGUGAUAUUUCAACAGGUUUAUUCAUGAAAGUUGAAGCAAAAUGUUUUGCAUCUCUAUUGUGGCGUAAAAAAUUAUGGAAUGUGCACCAUGAUUGAUUUCGACAAUUCAUUCAGUUGGCUUACAUCUCAAGGAAGUAUCCUUUUUUCAUUUACAGAUAUGAUUUUGAUUUAUAUUACACUUAUGAUCUCCUUGAUAUUGAGAAGCUUAAAUGUACUAUUCUAGAGCUAUUCUAGGUUUGGAUAAGAUCUGCUAAUAAAUCUAAAAGAUCUAUAAACAUAAAUAUAUCUACAAUAUUAUGGACACUCUGGUUGUUACGUUUAUAUCAUUAUAGUCUUGAAUUUAAUGUCUUUUUGGUAAAGAUGGCAUUACAUAUAUUUAAAAAUAUUUUUGGCCAACAGUCUUCCACAUUACAUAGGCUAACUUCUACACAACCAAUCCCAAGUAUCUUUUUACGUAUGCCAUAAUAGAAAAACUAGAUUAAAGGUUAAUGCUAAAUUGAACAACAACCUUAUUCUCCAAUAAAAAAUUUUUAAAUGUCUAGUAACUUGGUUAUCUUGAAGAGUAAUGUUGAUUACUAUGCUUAAUAUAUAGCCCAAACAUAAUUUAUAAUAUCCUUUUAACAUAUAUUAUUAAUACAAAUAUCUAUUUUAAACCAUUUACAUCAUAAAAGAAUCGUGAUCCUUAUGAUAUCUUGAAGUAAGUUAUAUCCCAAAAGUAGGAAUAUGGCUCUUUUACUUAGUAUUUAUUUUUUUCCAGCUUUUCUUUCUUAAAAUAACAAUACAUUUAGUCCCUCUUAAUCCAAAUGGGUGUAGUUAGUUGAUGGUCUUGUGGUAGAUGAGAUGAAAGAUCUAAGAGGCUACAUGAAAUAUUAAGAGGGAGAAAGAAUUGGUAUUUCCAUAAUUUUGAAUUUUCUUUCUAAAUCACAAAGGUAUCGACACACUUACUAACACUAUUCUUCAUGAUUAUCUAUGUGUGAGCUUUUUUUCUCUUUCCUCCUAUAAGUUAUCUUGUGAUUUUCUCUCUUUCACAAAUAAGACUCAAUUUUUUUAUAUUGGUUCAUCCUUCACUUGGCCACUUUUAAUUCUACAGGAUCUUGUUUAUUAUAUUUCACUAUUUCUCAUAGAAAUACACAUUGAAUUCCCCAAGAUCAGCAGCUCAAUAACUCAAGUUUGAUCUUUAUAGAGAUAUAACCCCUUCUGGGGUAACUUGGGCUUAGAACACCUCAUGCCUUUACCCAAAAACCUUUUCCCCUCAUAACCCAAUUAUCUUAAAGCCUAAUAGAGAGCCUAUUAAAAGAUUUGAGCAUUUUGUUGAUCACUAACAGCCAAUGAAGAUGGAUAUAAUAUGUACAUGUUUGAAGCUCCAUAGUAAAAUUACUUGAUCGUGAGGAUGAUUCCUCUUGAUAGAUCAAGAUGGAAUGCUCAUUUUUCAUUUUUCUAGCUUAUCUUUCAUGUAAGGCUUUACCCUCUAAUGAUUUUUCAUUUUUUGCUCAAAACAUAAAUUUAGAAGAUUGAUUCAAAUAUUUACAAUUUUUCAGAAUAUGUGGUAACGACCUCUGACUAUUGUGAAUUUGAUAACUUAUUAUUCCUUAUUUCAUCUGAUUUGAAAUUUAAAUUGGAUGUUUAUCCCUCAUAGAUGAAUAACUUUUAUUUUGACAUUGUCUCCAAAUUCGAACAAUGAGUCAACUAUUUUCUCUACAUAAGUAGUCUUUGUGUCAUAAUCUAGAUUUUUGGUUCAAGACUGAUAAAAACUCAUUUAAUAUUUUGAAUCAUUUUUAUUCUCUUUUCAUAAUGUACGUGACUAAUGCAUAAAUGGCUAAAUUUAAAGGUUAAAUGAUUAUAGAUAAAUAUAUCAAAAUAAAAACCAUCAUUUACCUAUUUAAAUAUUUGUUUGCUAAAAAAUAUUUAUUCUCAUAAAUUUGAUACUUCACAUAUUUCAUCAAAUCAAUUAAUCUAAACAUUCAAUCCUUUAGAUGAAUAAGUUACAUAUAAUCACAUGAGAUAAAUAAUAGAAUUGAUACAUAAAAAGUAUCCAAACAUUUAUAAUAAUCUUGUAGAUAAAAUCAAUCUUAAUAAUAUAUUUUCUCAUUAAUUGUAAUAUCAAAACUAAUACCUAAUGGCAUCAAUAGGAAAUAAGGUUUGGGGUAGAAAGAUAAGGUGGUUUUCUCAUUAUCAUAUGCAAAAUAAAGUAAAAUUUUUGCUUAAUGCAACUACAACACAUAAAAGUUUUUUUUGUACCUAAAGAAUAAAAGACAUCAUCAUAAUAAGCAAUGCUUUUGGAAACCUAAGAAACUGAAAUCUACUUCUUAGUUCUUAAAUAGGAAAAAUGGAAGAAAGAAUGGCUCUAAGAUGGACCCUUCUAGUUAUUUAAUGUGCCCACCUUUAAAUGCGGCAUGAGGAGACACAGUACAAGGGAGAGAUGGUCACACCAAAGACCAUUUCUUGCGGACCCAAUGGCCACCUAUUGGGUGAAUGGGCAACAAAGUGGAACCAUUCAGCCCGAAAGAAACAUCUCCUAAGGUUUUCACUAGGCACAUAACCAUGGUGGCUCCAAGGUUCUUAUAAAUAGCAGGUCCUUUCUCCUUGUUGGAUAAAUCCAUUGUACCCUUGUUACAUUAGCUAGAGAGAGAGGGUGUGUGUGUGUGUGUGUUUGGGAGACAACUUCUAAGGGAGAUCUCCUUUGGGUUGAUGAGUGCAUCAAAGGGCUAAGAUUAGGGAUUCAUUCCUUGAGAUCUUGGAAGGGCCAAGAUUAACAAUUAUUAUCUAAGUUCUUGAGUGUUUUCUUAUAUUAAUUUCAUAUCUAGUGGAGCUUUCAUCAUCACUCGUGAAUGUAGAAGGUCAACCUCUAAACCACCUAAAAGCCUUGCGUCAGUGUUCUUUUGGUGAGUUGCUCUCUUUCUUCCACCUUACUUCAUGUUAUAUAAAAUGUGAGCAUUGCUUUUUUCUGAGGUCACAUAAAAGAUAUUGCUCUAACAAAUAAGACUACCAUGCUAUUGAUAGGCUCUGACUACAAGACCAAGAAAAUCUAGAGUAAAUUCAAAACAUUAGGCAAACCGUGAAGUACAUGCAUAAAUUGGAUAGUCAAAGUUGAGCGAUCUGUGUUUAGGUACUUGUAUACAGAACUACUGAAAUUGAUACCUGACUACUAGGAACAUCUCUACCAAUAACUUUCUGUGCAAAAUAUGAAGGUAGAGUAAACUCGCAGAACAGCGGUUGACGUGGGAUUGCCAUCAGUAAUUCUAUCAAGAUGACGAACAAUGGAGCCUGAUUUUUCUGACGGCUCUAAAGUAGUAGAAAACUAAACGAAGCGGAAUUCCCUAAAAGGGAUGAAGGUGCUAGUGGCUGCCGUUUCAGAAAAAAAGGGUGUGCAUUAAGUUUUCUUAAUAGUUUAUCCGUGGACAAGAAAGUAUGUGCCAAGGCAACAUUCGUCAGUACAUCAUAGAAACUGAUACAACUCCUGGCAGUGUGUACUUCAUAUACGAGUUGCCAAUUCACUGGGGUAAUUCAACACCUUCAGAACUAAUGCGAGGUUAAUACUUCUUCUAUUGUUUGUGAUUUGACUUGAGCUUAUGGCCAUCAUUGGUUUAAUAUUUUAGGUUUAGAUUACUUUUCUUCAUUAUAUUGAAAAAUAUAAAAAUUUUUAUUUCGAUGCUACAAGUAAAUAUAGGAUUCACGAGAUCUGACAUGUAUAAUUUUAUCUUGAACGUAUAAGAAUGAGGCAUGAAGUUAAAACCUAUAAUAAAACCAGGCGACUCUCAGACAAGGCUUACAUUAACUCUCCCUCUUUCCCACUCUCCUACCUCUCCCUUUCCCUCUCUCUUCUACUCGUCCUCCCUCUCUCUUUCGCUCUCUUACAAGUAAACCGAAAGCAAAAAUAUUUUUUUCAAAAUUGAUAAUAUCCUAAGGAAUAAUUAUCCUUCUAUUUUUUAUUCUCAUAAUUAGGUUAUUGAAGCAUUAUUGCUACCUUCCUCAGAGCCACUUCCGGGUCGAUAUAUGUCUUUCAAAUUCAGUUCAGAAUCAGCAGAUACUGUCAAACGGAGGGGCGAUGACGUACACAAAAAGGAACAGAUUGAUAAAAUGGAAGAGGUAAGAUAAUGUGAACCCGGAUUAUAAGAAAGGAAUUUCAAUCAUCCACGCGGUUCGGGAUGGAUCCGGUUAAAGCCAAGGAGAAAGGCAAGAUCUACGGGCAGCGGCGACAACUAGGCAGCCACCCGCUCGGAUAUGAACCGCCCAAAUUUGUUGGCGAACCUAUGGAACCCAUGCGCUCCUCGUCGGCAUGAGACCGGUAGAUAUAUCGGGAGAGUGCACGCGCUAGGGUCGCCUGGAGUUUACGAUAAAAGUCGAUAUGAAUUUCCUCCAUGGGGAAGACCAGAGAUAUUUCGUGCGGGGUAGGCUCUUUGGCCUCGGUACCCUACGAGAUAAUAAGAACCGUAAGCAAAAAGAUAGAGCCACACACUUGUACCACUUGAUGAAUCGGUGUUUAACGUGCCGACUUCUGCGGAUCUUUGACAUUUAUUCGGUCCGUUCCCUGUUUGAAACUCUCGACAAACUUUGAAUCUUCUACCACACGCCAGUCGGGUUUCAAAGAAUGAUUUCCCAAUGCGGUGACCUCGAUUGGUAAGCCAAUGCAUGCCGACGUUGCACCGCCUUUCUGGGGAGGCCCCAUCUCCAUGGACAACGGCUACCAUUUGAAUUAAAAUAGACUAGGAAUACGUCACACCCCAAGCCUCCCUUCACCUGCGUUCUUCCCUCUGAAACGACAGUAGCGUACAGCUAAUGGUGUUAGAGUGUUCGAAGUGGUGGUAAAUAACGAGCGAAACCGUGGGAAUCAGAGGAAUAUCCUUGAGCUCGGAGACGUUCGCGAACUUGCCUCCACCCUCCUUUAACCUAGAUCAGCUCACUCAGAGUUUCGCUAGAAAGGGCCUGACACAGGAGGACUUGGUCACCCUCUCUGGUGCGUACAUAUGUGAUGCCAUCGAUCGUCUAGGCCGCUUCCAAUGAACUCAUAACCGAAAAAUAUAUCAAAUCCUAACCAGUCGUCACUAAGAGAUGAUAUCCCGUGGUGUUGUAUGUGACCAGGUGCACAUUCCAUUGGAAAAGCUGACUGCUCCGCGUUCAGCAACAGGCUCUACAAUUUUAACUCCACCGUGCAGACGGACCCGAGCCUUGACCCAGUCUAUGCAGCCCAGCUGAAGCAGAAGUGUCCCCAGGGCACCACGGGUUCGAGCGUGCCCAUGGACCCUCCCUCUCCCCAGGUCCUCGAUUCCAGCUACUACAAAGGCCUUCUCGAGAACCGUGGCCUCUUCACCUCUGAUCAGACGCUCAUGUCCAGCCCAGCAACGGCGAGGCAAGUGAGGGCCAACCGGAACAACAAUUCCCUCUUCAACAAGAAUUUCGUGGCAGUAAUGAUGAAGAUGGUAAAAUUGACAUCCUCACUAGGACCGUAGGGCGAGAUCCAUUUGAACUACAGGGUCGUCAACAAAUGAUUUUUAUGGGUCGUCAACAUUACGCUAUAUUUGUCCUAUGUAUCUAAUGGUCUCUCCCCCUUUAUGAGCAAAGUAUAAAGCUCAUGGAGCAAACCUAUUGGCAUGUACUCUGUUCUGUGACACUAGGGUAUUGUGAUCAUGAUCGAUCGAUCGUCGGAUCGAUGAUCAUGAUUAAUUGAUUUUAAACGAUCAUGAUCAUGGAAAACGACCAUGAUCACGAUCACGAUCCGGGUCCUUGAUCAAUCGUCGAUCGGUCGGUGGAUUGAUGGCUACAAUGUACUAUCUGUUAGAUGAUGAGUUUUCAUCAUCCAACGGUUACAAUUCACAUCGACGAGAGAGAGAUGAAAUCUCUCUCUCACUCUCGUCUCUCACUCUCUUACUUUUGUUGCCUCUGUCCUCUUCUCAUUGGAAAGACCGACUUCACCGCCACCAAGUUCGCUGCCGCCAACUUCAUCACCACCGCCUCCCCCUCUCCCUCUCCCCCUCUCUCUCCCUUCUCUCCCUACUCUCUCUCUCUCUCUCAUUAGGGCUUCUCCGAAAAUGACCGAGCUGCUGCCAACCUCACUGUCACCACCUCUCCCCCUCCCUCUCAUCUCUCUCUCUCUUGCCCCUUCUCUCUCCCACCUCUCUCUCUCUCUCUCUCUCNNNNNNNNNNNNNNNNNNNNNNNNNNNNNNNNNNNNNNNNNNNNNNNNNNNNNNNNNNNNNNNNNNNNNNNNNNNNNNNNNNNNNNNNNNNNNNNNNNNNNNNNNNNNNNNNNNNNNNNNNNNNNNNNNNNNNNNNNNNNNNNNNNNNNNNNNNNNNNNNNNNNNNNNNNNNNNNNNNNNNNNNNNNNNNNNNNNNNNNNNNNNNNNNNNNNNNNNNNNNNNNNNNNNNNNNNNNNNNNNNNNNNNNNNNNNNNNNNNNNNNNNNNNNNNNNNNNNNNNNNNNNNNNNNNNNNNNNNNNNNNNNNNNNNNNNNNNNNNNNNNNNNNNNNNNNNNNNNNNNNNNNNNNNNNNNNNNNNNNNNNNNNNNNNNNNNNNNNNNNNNNNNNNNNNNNNNNNNNNNNNNNNNNNNNNNNNNNNNNNNNNNNNNNNNNNNNNNNNNNNNNNNNNNNNNNNNNNNNNNNNNNNNNNNNNNNNNNNNNNNNNNNNNNNNNNNNNNNNNNNNNNNNNNNNNNNNNNNNNNNNNNNNNNNNNNNNNNNNNNNNNNNNNNNNNNNNNNNNNNNNNNNNNNNNNNNNNNNNNNNNNNNNNNNNNNNNNNNNNNNNNNNNNNNNNNNNNNNNNNNNNNNNNNNNNNNNNNNNNNNNNNNNNNNNNNNNNNNNNNNNNNNNNNNNNNNNNNNNNNNNNNNNNNNNNNNNNNNNNNNNNCUCUCUCUCUCCUCCUCUCUCUCUCUCCCUCCUCUCUCUCUCACCUCUCUCUCUCUUGUCCUCUCUCUCUCUCACCUCUCUCUCUCUUGCCCCUCUCUCUCAUUAACAAAUAACAAAGUUCAUAAGUAUAUCUAGAAAUCUAUUUCAUGUAGGUUGGAUAGUAAGCUCAUUUAAUCUCAUUAUAUACAUAUAUAUUAAUAAAGUUAUGAAUUGCGGCUAAUAUAUGUAUAUGUAUAGUUACAAAGCUUAAUUUAUAUAUAUUAUUACAUUUAUUAAGCAUAAUAUAUGUCUUAAUAAAGCUAAAACUUAGGUCUAAUAAUAUAAAUAUAUAUUUAAUAUAUAUUAUAUAUUUAUAUAUAAUAAUAUUAAAUGACGAUCAGCCGAUCAUGAUCGAUCAAAUCGUGAUCACUAUAAGUGAUUUUGACUGAUUGGAUCAACGAUCGAUCAUGAUCGCAGUACCUUAUGUGACACCAUAUUAAAGUAUAUGCCAUCGUUCUCUAGUUAAUUGUCAAAUAAAAAUAUGGUUAUUGUAAAGGUACUUAGAUUUAUUGAUUAGAUCUCUGAUUAAAAUAAAAUGUCAUAUCAAAUCAACGGAAAUAAAAUGAGUCGUACACCGUCACCUCACCACACCGAGGAGGAGAAAGAACGAAAAUUCAUAAAACUAAAAAGAUUUGAGUCAUAAAAAAAAUCAAACCAAAUCUAAAUAAUAGUCAACAUAAAUCUCUCCCUGUUGUUUUGAUGAACGUGGGAAGAACACGACAGUCACACACAGGUGACAAAGAUGGUUGAUCCUCGCUCUGCUGUGCCAACGGAGGAGAGUUCCACGCAAGGGGAAGGAGGAUGAUGUGAUCGUGAAUGAGGGAAAGCUGUCGGCGCCCCCCUUCCCAUUUAAUUUAAGGCCCUACUAUUUAACUUCCCCUUUUGGCCCUACUAACCUAAAAAAUUACAAGGAAAGCCCACCAUUUUAUAAGGAAAAGGACGAGACGAGGCGGGAGGAGGCGGGAGGAGGCGGAAGGGUAGGAAGAGGUCCUUGGGCAGGUCUAGACCAGGCAGAAGAUGAACGACACUUGUUGCGGUGGCAGUGGCCGAUGCUUCAGUACCGCUGCGUCAACGAGGGCGGCCCCGAGCACGCCAAGAGGCUCGUCUAUUCGGUCCGCGUGAACACGUCCGACUUUCGUUGGACCGACGAGUGCGUCGGAGAGCCCAUGUCCAGUGUGAAGAAGGCCAAGGAUUCCACGGACACAUCUCUUCUCUAAUUACUUAAAAAAACACUGACCUGCUUCUCCGUCUUAUCUAUUCGUCUCCGCGCGUUUGCUUUCAGGGCGCCUUGUUGGUCUCUUAACGUUUGCUUUUAUUGCUCUCCAUGAGAGAGACAGAGACACAGAGAGAACGUGCGUGUGUCGUGAAGACGACGUCUUUCUCUCUCCCCCUAUCUCUCUCAGUGGCGUAACUGUUCAUCUCUGCACGUUUGCUUUUUUAUUUCUAUCCGAGAGCGAUAGAGAGAUAACGUGGGGCCUCCUGAAGACGAUGUCUAUCCCACUCUUUUCGACGUGGCGCGCCUUGUUCUCUAUGCACAUUUAUUUUUAUUGCUCUCCAGGGGGAGAGAGAGAGAGACGAUACCACUCCAGCGGACAGCCGAAAUUGAGGUCCCGUCUGAUCGAUAGGCAAUCUCCCUAAGAACUUCGCAACAACUGUCUCACAGUUCUCGUUUAGACAACACAGGUAUUUAUUUCAUCAUGGCCAUGGGAGUACGACGGCCUAAACCUACACGAUAACAACAGGCUGACCCUUCAACUCGGGGCGAAGCACUGAUUUGACCUCGAACCCUGCAUACUGACGCUGGACGGCGGUGUCAUCGGGUCCUCGCCUUUGAACUUCUUCCUCUCCGCCUGCAGCAGCUACGUCCUAGUCAACCACUUCCUCUUCAAGGCCAAUCAGGCAGUUUCUCUUCUUGGAUAAGGCAAACAGAAAGACCGCGAUGGACAAUAUUACCACAGCCUUACCUCUUCUUUCGUAGGCCCAUGGCAGCCGCGGUAUGCCCGGGACAAGCGAGAAAAUCCGGAGGAAUUGCCGGGGGUCAUCAAUCGAUUGAAAAUGAACAGUUCUGAUGGUUGAUGCCUACUUUCAGUUCAUAUAUUUUCACCUUAUACCGUAGAGAUUUCACAUAAUUUUUGUCACCUAAUAUUUAACUGGAGACGGUAGGGUCUGGCUUUCAUAUUAGCGAUCAGCUACCUUUUAAUCAUCGCGGAAUUCUACAGAACGCAGAUAAAACUUAAUAUCAUGGAAUCAUGCGUAGCGUAAAAAUACACAUUAUUGCAUUGUCGAAAGGUAAAUAGAUAUUAAAAUUAAAAUAUAAAAAAUAGUAUUAAAUCAAUUUUUCCCGACUAUUAUUUGCUUGCAUUAAAUAUAUAUCCUACAUGAUGUGAUCAAAUCCGUAAAAUUGAAUGAAAAUGACGAGGCAUUCAACAAGAAGAAGUAUUACAGUGAGAGAUGAAUUGGGAUAAUAAUAAAAAUAGGCAAAGUAGUCUUUCAUCGGAAAAGCUUAUAUCUAGAAUAAAAAUUUAAUGUAAACUAUAAUAACUUUUUCCCCAGUGGUGAGUUUGAUAUUGAAAACUUAAAACUCAAAGAAAUUAGCAUAACUUUCUCGGAAACUCGUUUGAUGAGAAUAAGCGUACCUUCUAUAUAUCAGGUAGAUAUCGGCCAAUUUCAUAUACCUUUCGAUGCAUUCUCUCUACUUUUCCGUAUGGAAUGAACUAUCAAGAAACUCAGAAAUCACCUGUAUCGUUCGCUAGUUUCAGACGACUUUGACACAGUUUAGCUGUUCAAAGUUGGCAUAAUCCUUGGAUGGUAUGAUAUGCUUCAUGUCUUGAUCAAAUUACAUCUCUUCGAGGGGUUAGCUUGUCUGAUGCGACUUGUCUAUUCAAAUGGGCACAAUUCCAAGUUUUGUCCCAAUUUUAUCUGUUCAUGUAGCUCUUGUGAAGCUUUCAAUCUCUAAAUCAUUUGUUACUCAUCUCUGAUGAAAAGUAUGUGGGCUUCGUUUUUGAGAUUCCCCAUAUUAUUAAAGAAAGGGAAACAAUUAUCUGUUUGCUUGUCGGGUGCUGCCAAUUUUAAGCGAAUAAUGCUAUGGGCAACGUUUGAUCAUCCCGCACGUGGCGUUGUUUCGGAUUUACAAAUCCAUAAAAUGAUGUGGACCAGCAUGCCGCGGUGAAUCUGUACCCGGGCCCUGUGCACACUCUCGGAGGCUUCCUUGUGAUGAUAUUUUUUUUCAACCAACGCAGGCCUAUCUUCUUUUAUGUCGGUAAUCCCCCCACAGGUAUUUAUUACUGACAACGCGAUUCUCUGGCUGAACGACCCUCUACCUAUCGGCACAUGAGAGUAGGUGAUGUAUCGAGGUUAAUGAGAAGAAAAGACACCGAUUUAAUGAUACAUUUGUCACCUCGUCUCUUUAAAGUCAACGUCCAUUUGAUGUGAUUCCCAGAACUUUCUUUUAUUCAGAUUCCACGGAGCAGCUCAACCUCUACGCUCCCACCCCAACCUCUCCCCACCCCUCCCCUUCCCGAACCGCACGUAUUUUGCUACCACAUCGCGUCUCCGAGCUAUUAUCGUUUCACAUCCUUUCACAUUGGCCUCUUUCUACGUCACAUGGCGCGGCGGAAUUACUUCAUUUUGGGUCAAUGAAGUAGUACCAAUAUCGAAAAAAUGGUUGUCGUGUGUACCUUACGCUCGAGCCACAUUUUAGGGAUGAAGCAAAGGAAUUUCGAGGGUAUCAAUAAGAGCCAAAGAACGAUGGGGUCGGGGGAGAGGUGGUGAUGCUGGACCUUUUAUCGCUUCAUGAAUCGGAAUGAAUAUGACUUUGUUAGUAACUCUCUCCGAUAUCUCUCCCCUGUUCAGGCUUCAUUUAUGGGUGGCGACCGAAUUUCGGCUUGCUAUAGUAAGGAUACCGUUCCUAUUCCUAAUCAGUGAACUCCAUGCCUUUGAAAAAUGUAAAUGCAUCGGAUAUUAAAUUCUUUUUUGAGCUGCUUUCAGAUUUGGUGCAGCUAAUAUAAAAGUAAUCCUGCUAUGUAAAGAGACAACGCAGAAUUCAGAGCAUUCUUGCUGAAGAAUAAAAAGUAAAGCUUUAGGAGGGUCUCCACAGAACGAUUACGACAACAUGAGAUAUAUGCAUAUCAGAAUGUUGGAGAAUAUAACAUUUGUUGAAUCCUAGUUAGAAGACCAGCAUAAAGAAUGCGUUCUUUUGAUUCGUUGAAGCUAAAUAUUUAAAAAUGCAUAAGAAAUACUGACUGGUAAUCUCAAGCAAUUAUAAUAUCUUGAACAUAGGAUGGAAUUUCAACUUGUUUUCAUAAGAAGUUAUCUCGCCCACUAUAGAAGAGAAGUGGAUAAGCGCCUCGAAGCACAAGUGCGAACAGGUCCAGAUUUUAGGCUGUGCAUAGACAGAAAAAAGAGAGGUUCACUCCGUAAUUGAAGAGCUAAUUUGAUGACCAACGUGUAGAGGCAUUAAGUAAAGGAAAUUGAUCCCUUCUUUAGGGGAGUGGAGAAGAUGAACAAUCAACGGAUAGACGAUCGUGGUCGUGGGGAUCACACCUAUUGCACCAACCCCUUUCACAACGUAGCUGCAGAGAAUGUCUCUACCCAUGAGACACUAAAGUCAAAUAUCGAAAAUCUUCUAAGAUCUUGAUCAAUCAUCUAAUUUGAUAUUAAUCUUCCAUCAGCCCAUCCGGUCAGUUGGCCCAUUUCCUUGAAACAAGUCCUGCCUUUCAGAGAGUGCGAUUCUCUCUUUCCUAUUAUACUGUUGAAGUCAUUGGUUCAGUGGAGGAAGAUCAGCAUUCCGCGGAUAAGAGUUCGGCGCUGCACUUGGAUUACUCAAGGAGUUCAUGGGAGAUACAGGGCACUAAAGCUGUGAUAUUUCAUUAAGAAACAAUAUAUUUUCACUAUACUAAAGCUUACAAGAAAACCUGACGCUGCCAUGCAUGCGUCAUGCUAUUUAGCAUUUGAUUGCCACUGUGGCUUAUUACAUUUGAUUGAGGACUCGACAUAACAGUAAUCUUAAAAUCAAGAACAAUCCAAGAUAGGCGCAAACACAGUUUCAGACGGGAAUCCAAACAUUGUUCAAUUGAUCACCCUACAGUUCAAUCUUAUCUCUCCUUUUUUCCCGGUGAGCACUUCGAUAUUGCCCAUCUUCACCAUAGCCUCAGCAAAUCUCUUCUUGAAGAGGUGCUCGUUGGCCGCGUUCUGCUUCACCAGAUUAGCGGUCUUGGAACUCGACAG
rnacentral:lncRNA from 1 species